CUCUUUGUACUCCUCUCCUCUCUUUUAAUGCACCUCUAUAGCAAUCAAAACCAAUUACAAAGAGAUUAACAGUGCUAUAAAACAAAUUUUGCUCAAUGUAAGCUGCAAUUAACUCAUGGCAUGUUGUGAUUUAUUAACCUAGGGAUGAACACAGUGACUGACAACAACAGUCAUACACUGUAAAAAAAGAUGUGGUUGUGAAAAAUCUAUCAAAUGGAUAACUGUGGAUCCCAAUCAUCGCAUACAAUUAGACACCAAGCAAACAACCUGCAGGCAAGUACAGAUACUGCAGCACUUCUUCCAAAAGAAAUAUUUUCCCUAUAUCCAAAAGUUAAGUGCCAUCAUUUAAGUGCACUACAGUCAUACUAUGCCAAAUCUCAAUUAUUGAUUAGCAUUUCUGUUAAGAACACGUCUCGAAAAAAUAAUUUAAUCAGUUAACUUAUGCGAUCAGAAAAUAUGUUGACAUAUUGUAACUUCCAUUUUCUUAAGCCUUCCACAAGCUGCAUCACGAGUAAUACCAUGCUCGCUCCCGGCGGCAGAUGUGAGUGCAAGCUGGAUGAUGGGAGCUAAAUAAUCAAGAGAUUUACAAAUCACGGGGAGAUGGAUCCUGCACAUUGCCCAAAGAAACCAAUCACUUCAAUCCAGAUUCUAAUCCAUGGAGUGGGCAUUGUGUUAUUCUUACUUCAUGUGUCAUCCACCAAACAUUACCCUAGAGAAAUAAAGAAUCUCUAGAUGAAUUACGGAGGUAGGUACGUUUAUAUAGGGAGCUGCAUUCAUCCCUAUGGCGUGAAAGAAAUAGCCAAAGAACCAAACUCCAGUCCCAACUACAAAGAAUCUUCUUGCAUUAAAAAUUUUCCGAAGAGAACUAGUAAGGCCUAAUUUAGGAUUUCUUUAAAGACCCCCCCAAAAAAAAUCCAACGCCACUUCUGAUCUCUGCUUAUCCCAUUCUGUGACAAGACGGCAGAAACCCCGACAGGACAUGCUUCUCUAGCAGGUGUUUCCGCCACCAUUUCAUAUCAUAUGCAAGUGGAAAUCUAAGGAGCUUUCAGGUUUUUUACGAUUCUAAAGCAUGAAAGCGCCAACAUUUCCAAGAGAUGCAAUCUUAAACAAGGCCACAAUAAUGCUCCAAACUCAAUCUCUCAACACGAAGCCCGUUUCCCCACAACUACACAUUGGAAUCAUCCCAAACAAUAAAUCCAUAAAACAACGUACAUCAACCAAACCCGAUCUACUGUUUCAAUCCCAUUUAUCCACAAUACACCAACCCACAUCAAUUUAGCAUAGAUAACACGAUUAGAAUGAUCCAACAGAAAAAGAAAAGAAGAAGAGAUAUAUCAAAAACCUUUGGAAGUACGGAGGGAUCUAAGGACCGUCUUGUACCCAAGCGUAUACUUCCCACUCUUCAUCACCAGGGCGAGCCUGUUGUUGAUGCUCUCGGUGCUCUUCUUCUACAUUUCGAUCAAAAAGCAACCAUUUUCACACCAAAAAAUCACCAAAAAAUGCUAGAGACGAAAUCAACGGAGCCAUGAUCGAUCCAAAUUUGGUUUUAAUGGUAGAAGAUGAUCGAUUAUUACCGUCUUCUUCACGGGCGCCAUUGGAGAAGCUCCGAGCAGAGGAGGCGGCGGCGAGAGGAGAUAGAAACCCUAGAGAAGUCCCAAAGAGCGUCAGCAAAUGGAAAACCCUCAUAAUAUAUAGAAAAUGGGCAACGAGGCAUAAUUACGAAAUUGCCCCUCUUCGAAUCAGUUGAUCCGGCGCGUUUGGUACUUGUCCAACGGCUACUGAUCAUCACUAGAAAGGUAAAAAUGUAUCAAGGCCCCUCAGAAAUAUACCAUUUCGAAACCAAGCCCAAAAUUUUAUUUUUUAUUUUAGUUCUGUAUUAGAUUUGUCACAGUUUCCAUUAUAUUUUAUAACUCUAAUUUUUCUAAACAUAAAAAAUCUCCUAUAUUACAUGCAUGCUAAAAAGUAUUGUAUAAUUAGUAGCUCGUAGUUGAUUGUAUUUUCUCAGCAAGUAUCUUAUAAAUUGUCAAACUAAUCGGAAAAGCAUUUGGACAUUUGAUCGUGCGGCAUUUCUAAUACUUUUUUUAAAUUCGUCUACACUUAGUGACAUAGUUAUUUUUCUCAUCUUUAAAGAAUUAGUACUUUUUCAGAAGAUUAUAAACUCAUUUAAGUUUAUGGUAUUUAUAAAAAAAAUUCUCGAAGUUUUCAAAAAAUUGAUCAUAUAUGCUCUAGCAAAGUUUCUUAUUUUUCAAUUUACUCUCCUUCACCUAAAAUUCAAAUUCAUCACACAAUCUGUUGAAAGCAAUCUGUGCAACAUCCACCUCGCUUGGAUGCUAUGUCCUCUUUAGAAAUUCAUCGCUUGAAUGCUAUGUCCUCUUUAGAAAUUUCUACAUCAUAGAGUCUCUUUUAGUAUUAGCAAUCAUUUGAUAUUUUGGAGUAGAAAUGGUAAAUUUUUUAUAAUGGGUAAUAUCAUAUGGUAUAGUUACUUGGCCUAUUUGUUGUAGAGAAAGGGACGGAGAAGAAGGAGAGUAGAAAAGAAAAAUGAGAGAAAAAAGGAGAGCAUAGUAAUAAUACACAAUGAUAGUUAUAAAUCGCAUUAUAAAUAAACGGUGUUGAAAAAGUUAAGCUCUAGUAUGGAGAUAAGAAAGGAGAAUCUCGAAAAAGAGACGAAACUAGGAUAUCAUGAUUGUGACUUAAUGAAAUGAUGGUAAUAAGAUAACUCGAAGAACCGAGAGAGAAGAGAUAGAAUGAAAAUAUAACUACAAUAAUGAGGUGAGAGAGAUUGAAUGGCAAAUUGAAAAGAGGAAGGAGAUGGAAUGAACAAGUAAUGAUAUUUAGUCAGGUGGACAUAUCUUCGUCAAAUUAAGAAAGAGUUUCAAUCGAUUAAGAAUUCACAUAUAAUUUAUGUGAAUAAAUAGUGAAACACCGUUACAUGACAAUACCGUAAUUUCACAUUUUCUUUGAAAUUGCUAUUAAAGAAAUAAAAAAUAUAUUUAAUUUUAACUUCUAAAUAUACUUAGGAUAGAAAGAUCUAUAAAAUAUAAACAAAUCAAUUUACUAUUAGGAAUCAAUUUGUUAGGUUUCCCAACCACCUUUCUCUGUAGCUUGGUAUGCAAAGAUUUUUUGUAUAUCUACUAACCGUUCCACUCAUUCGAAAUGCAAACCUCUAUCUCUAUUAUAUGGGAUGAUCUAACUAUUAACAUAAGAGCAAAACUCAAUAGAGAUAAAUUUUACUUUUCAAUAGAGAGUUGAUCUAAAAUAACAUAUAUAUCUAAUAUAUUCUUUUGAAAAUGUGCUCCCAUAAAUUAGCGAACAUACCAACUAAAUUACAAAGAAAAAGUUUCAAACCCUAGCUCAUCAAGAGAAAGUUUUAAACCCUAACUCAUCAACCGUAUUGAAUUUAUGUAAAAUAUAAAACAGUUCUAUAUAUUGCUUGAAGCUUUUAGAGUAAACAGUUGUUUCCAAUGAUAUACAAUUAGGAUGUUGAAAAUCCGCUCAGAGGUAAGAAAGAGUGUUAAAUACAAAAUAACUCUAUUAGCUUUAGCUUUUGUGAAACUCUAUUCAAACAGCCUUCAUCAACAACAAGACGGAUUUUGGUUUAAAAGCUUGCAUAAAUCAUUCAUAUCCAGAAUAUCCACAAUCCAUGCUUCUUACUCUCAAAAACUGAAAAGCUUUAUACAAUGAUUGCGAAAGACUAAAGAAGCAUUGAACACUAGAUUGGAUAAUGGUUCUACACACUGGUGAACACCCAAAAAUUGAUGCAAACACAGCAUAAAUCCAAACUGUUGAUACAUAUGGUGAUUCCAUUUUGCCCAAAAGAUGAAGCAGCCAAAAGGAAGCUAUAGAAUACCUAACAAUAAUAUAAGGAAGUUAAAAAAAGCUAGUAAGUGAACUAGCAAAUUCUAAGGUUAGCGCUUCCUUCGAUUAGAAGACCUUAGCGGUUGCGAUGGACAAACUGACGAAGUGUCUUGGGUCGCGUUUUCCACCGCCUCGUUUUUACAGCUUCUCAGCCUCUUCUUUGACAAAGAAGUAGAAGCUCCUCCUUGGCUUUUGGAUCCUUCCACUGCUUCAGCUUUUACAGAACUUCUCAGUCUCCUCCUUGUAGUGGGAUUAGGAGAAGCCGCCGGAUCUUCUUCGGGUUCGUUCGCAUCAUUUUCUUCUUCUUCGCACUCCAACUGGGGCCAUUCGGCGCCGCAACCCGGACAGGCUCUUGAACCCUAGGUUAGAGUUUUUUAAGAAACAAGUUUGUGUGAUUGAUGAGUGAUAUGAGAGAAAAGAAGGGAAUUACGAUAAGAGUUUUGUCAGUUACAAAAAAUGAUGAAUGAGAAAUGAGAUGGGAAGGAAUGUCCUGUGCUACCUUCCGCCGAGAAAAUUUCUGCUUUAAACAGUAAUCAUGGAUUCGAAUAUUGCAACCUUCAUUUGGACAUGUAGAGGCCUGUUUGACAAGCAAAGGUCAACACGGCAGUAAGGAUAACAGCAGAACACAUUGUAGUUCAAGCAUUUAUAGAACAUGGCACUCGCUUAAACAUGAUUCAAAUUUAAAUAGGCUCCACAAAGAAAAUGGAUCCAACAUCAAACCGUCUAGAUAUCGGCUAGUAAUUCCGCAGAACAGCAAAUUUAUUUCAUAAAAGUUAUCCACCUCUGUGUCACAGGUUGGCUCGCUCAAUAGAGCAACUCUCCAAAAUUCCCCUACACAUUCCAAUAAUUUUAGACAGGAGGAAGAUGUUUGUUCUUAUAACUUUUUAAGGAAGAUAGCACCACAUCAACAAUGGAGAUUUCGAAAUUUUUUAUUUCCCCUCCAUUAAAAUAAGUGUAUGAUUUAUAUAUAACCAUCCUUGUAAUAAUUGAUCGAGGUCAUAGCUGGUCAAUUUCUACCUACGAACCCCAGAAUUCAAGCUAUGAAGCAAUGUCCUCAUAAAUUCCAAAUUUCCACCUUUUAGUGUAAAAAAUCAGCGAAUGCAGCAAGUAGGUAGCUGCCUAGGGGGAAAAAAAAAAAUCAAGAACACAGACAUGAUCCAUAUUUUACUUGUGACUACUAGACUUGUUCCGACCAACCCCACGUUUUAACACAAGUAUCAACUUUUGGAACCAAGUGUGGGAAGGAAAAAGAUAAAUACUGAUUUGGCCUUUAAAAUCAGAAAGUGAGGAACUAAAUAAUAAUAUAAACAUGGUUUUUAAGCGCCACCUGUUGUUCAGGAGCCGGGGUAAAGAGAAUAACCAAUUCAUAGAAUGGCAAUUAACGACGGAGAGAGUAUAGAUACCUUAACACCUGCUUCAUUGCAGACAUUGCAAGAAGGGACAUCAUUGCUGCGGAACCAACUUCGAAGAUCAAGGAAAGAUCUUACGCCAAGACCAAUUUUCCCACUAGAGGUGUACGAUAGCCAUCGGUCUUGUAUGAGAUCAUUGAGAGUUUUCUCCUUUUGAGACAUUGUAAAGUUCCUAAAUGCAGGAGGAAUGCGAGAUUGACUAUCCUGUGAACUCUGCCCAGCAGGAACCUGAAAGUUUGAAACCAGAUCCAUUGAAUUCAAGGAGAAUGGAACAAAAAUACUCCAACACAAAAUGAACUAACAGAAAGAACUAUAUAACAAGCAAUUAGGAUAAGCUACAAAGUGAUUUGUUGUCAACAUGAAACUAGAUAACUCCUGUAGGACCAUACUAUAACAAGAAAAAGCUAGAGGGUUUAACAUGUAAAUUGUGAGAAAGGCUUUAGUGGCAAGUUAAACAGCUGCCGAUAAACCAAAUAGAAAAAGAAAAAUAGUAGAAAACCAUAUGGUGUGCUUAAGUGGUACGUCACAAGGAUGACAAAACAAAUUGUCAAUAUGGAACUUGCAGACUUUGAAGUGUCUUAGAUUACAAAUGUUUCCUUUCGUUUGAGGAUUAGCAUUCAGCUGAGAUAUCAGUUGCAUAUUACCAAGACAAGCUUUCGUUCCCAUGCAAAUAUCGAAAUCACCUCAAAGAUCUUUUCCCUGAAUAUAAGGUUGUGACUUUCUUCCUAAUUCUAGUGUGAUCGAACAGCUUGUCAAUGAUAAAUCAUAGCCCAUAGAUGGUCACCAUAGAAGAUUAGCAGCUAAACCCAUAGUCCUGUAUAAAAAGAUACAAGCUAUCCUUUGUAAACAAAUUUCCUACCAGCUCUCAACCUUAUGUCAAUGCAUCAAAGUUUGAUAUUCUUAAUAGGAUUCAACAACUUUUCACUCAAUCAUUGCAGGGUUUGGCAUGGAUUGCACAAUGCUGUGUGUAAUGCCACCAGGCAUCCACAGAGGAUGCACAGUCCAAAUCUACAUCUUCCACCUGCAAAACUUUCUUAGUGGAUUUGAUCUUUUGUAGGAUUUGACUCAAAGAUGAGAGCUCAAAGAAAGGUGCUUAAAGAAGAGAAGGAGGGGGGGGGNGGGCGGGGGCGGUUUCUCCUAGUCGAAUUGGUAACCAGACAAUUAUUAUCAUACCAUUUUUAGUUAUCCCUCCCUUGCGUUGUUAUGUAUACUGAACCAUAUUGAAUCCAACUCUAUCUAAACAGGACCUUCGAACACCCUUAUAAGUCUCUGCAUUUUGGGUAUCCCGACCUUUUAUCUCUCACUAUAUUGCACUCCUAACUAUUUUCACUAUACAAUAAUAAUCAGAUGCAGUAGGGAACAACACCAGAUCCAAAGCCAUAACAAAGUGAGUAGAAGAAACUACUUGGCCAUUACCUAUAUCAAACUGACCUAGACACCAGAUAUUCGUUCCAUUUUUGGUAUACACAUAUGUUAUGUAUAUCACUGGAACAAUUGCAGAAAAGGUAAAGUCUGCAAAGAAACUGCACCAACAGGAAUAAGGAAAUAAAUUCAGCAAAUCUAAACCUCAAUCCGCCUUACUUGUCAAAUACUUUGUAAAAAAAAAGCAAAAAAGGGAGGAAAAAAAAAGCACCCAAAAUUGCAGAGCUUAGUAGGUAUACAGAAAAAGUAAAAUUAUUUAUAGGUAAGGUAUAGGAAAGCAUCUUUCUAGAAGAGGAACUUCAAUCACUAACCUGAUUCUCAAGCCGGAUGUUAAGAGCCUCAAUAUUGGUUACGCAGCCCUCAGUUCCAGCAUCCUGAAUUAUCGCUUCUAUCUGAAACAAAUAAUGGGUAUUUCGAGAUAUUAGAAACACUGGUUUCCUAAUGAUUAAAGUCAAAUAUUAAGCAGAGAUUCAAGUGCAAUCAUUUGAAGCGAUAGUCAAAAGACAACUGAAACAUACAAGCAUACAAAAUGAAAGUAUUAAUCAAGUCAUUUCAGGAGAAGCCAUGAGACAUAAUCAGGUACUGUUAACAUUAUGCUAGCAAAUAUUCAGGUUUCUUUACUAAUUAUUUGAUUAAAAGAGGCCAUUAGUGAAGUUAACGUUUUUUUUUCUUUUCUUUUGGGUUGAAAUAAAUAGGAUAAAAACACAGGCUCGCCGAUAAAGCUGUAAACAACAAUAGAUAAACCUUCGGAAAAUAUUGAUUAUGAAAAAAUCCACCAAAUAAUUCAUAUAUAUGUUACCGAACAAAAGCUAAUACAUAAAAUGGAGUACGUAAUGUACCACAAGGCAAGGAAUUCAGGUUUAAAUACAAGCAUAAAGUAAUUUUUGAGCCCUAAACUCAGGUAACAAACAAUGAUAAUUUUAACAUUUAAAAUUUUAGACAAGCAAGUGAAAAAGAAGCAUAGAGAGAGGAGAGGAAGUUAAAAGGUGAAAGUAAACAAUCUACGAGUGAUCUCUGCUGGUACCUGGAUAGCUUUGGAUCAGACAAAACAUCCUUCAUGGUAUAAGCAGUGUUCUCGUUUUACAAAUAUUAAGUGGUAAUCAACAACACAAAUGAAAUCACUAUGGUGGUAGUCAAGAGAAAGAACUGAUCAGAGGUCCUCUACCAUGUCAAACAAUAUACGCUCUCCAACAAGAUGGGCCAAAAGCCUCUUUUUCCUAAUUCUUUUUCAAGUCAAAGAGUUUAGGUUUCUUUGUAAGAUUUACGUCUUUGUUAGAUUUUGGUCUAUGAAAAAUGCAUUUGAAUAAUUAAAUUGGAUAACAUAAAGGUUCAUUUUAUGAAAUUUUGCUUUUCAUAAUUUUACUGUUUACUUCACUACAUUCCAUAGGUGUAAAGAGAAACAGACAAAUUCCUGAAACUGUGUAUCCAUUUUGUAUCCAAUAUAGUUAUGGCUCAAGCAUUUGCACAAGAGAAUACGGUUAAAAUGAGAAUUAAAUUUGAGACAUAUUUCUUUGUUGAUCACUAAAUCUAAAUCUCACUAAAUGUGGAAAAAUUCACAUGGAAUCCUUCUCAUAUGGACGGCACAAAUCCCAAGGAGAAAGCAUAUAGUUAGACUGGCAUUCCCAUCUCUCCAUUUGUACAAUUCUAACCUAUAUAAACCCUGAAAUAUUGGCCAAGAGGGUUCUGGAACCAAUCAGGAAACAGAAGUCAUAUAUUGAUUCUUGAGGAAUGAAUCACACUUUUCACCGCAUAGUUUCUUAUAGAAUAAACAACAAAGCAACAAAACAUGGUCAAGUUGUAUCUAUGAAUCUUUCACAAUUGUACUUUUGAAAAUCUCUUAGAGGGAGCUGCCAACAACAAGAAAAAGGUGAUUCUACACCAACAAAGUUCAUUCAAUAAAGACUAGCAAGCAUAAAAUCAUGCCCAUUUUGCAGCAACAGCUGUAGAUUACUACUAAAAUUCCAAGCAAACAAUGGCAUACCACACCCUUGUAGAAUGCAAUCUGCGGAACUGAAUACUUCGUCCCGAGCUUUGACUGCUCAUCAGCAACGUUAUUUAUCACCCCAUAGUAAACCUUCCCAUCAUACUGGUUUCUGCAUGCUCGCAACUCGAAUUGCACGUAAGCCAGCUCCUUAUUAAUUUUGAGAAGAACAUCGUUGAAUAGCUGCUUAUUAUUGACUGCAGCAUAUGAUGUGAGCAUCAGAGGUACCAAAGCAAAUCACCAUAUAUGUAUAUGCGAUUGUUUUUUCUUUUGAUAUUUUAAACUUAUAGAUGCUCAAUUAACUGUUGGAGACUUGAUUGAUCGUCCAUCAUGUGCUACCAACACCUCUAGACGAAAAUAGAGAAAACCGAAUGGUAAAAGAAAUAGAUGCAAAAAAAAUAGACCAAUAUUUACGUCGUUCGGCAACUGCCCACAUUCACGAGGAGAGUGAGAGAGAUAUUCCACUAUAUGAAAAAACAAAAGUACAAGUUUACACCUUAUGUUUUUUCCAAACCAUAAGCCAAGAGUCUUAUGGUGAAAUUCACCCUUCUCUUGCUCCAACAAAAACUCUUAAAGAAAUAACCGAGAAGAGCUUUUCAAAAGACUAAAUUAGAGAAGUAUAAAGUUUUUGACCAAAAUCCUUUAUGUUGUUGCUUUGGAUAGCCAAACCACUUAAGUAAUUGGUAGAGCACCUCCACGCUGCUGCUGAUCUCAAACUUGAUGCCGCACGCAAGCCACUGAACACUUCUCUUUUCUACCAAACACUCUUAUGUCUGUUCGUCCGGGCUAACAUCACCUUAAUUUAUCAGCCUCUACUAAUUAGCUUAGUCAUGAUGUAAGUUACAUUAUCCUUUACAUUAUCCUUUGCAGAAACCUUCAUAAGCUGAAUUUCUCCAUCAUUCUUCUCAAUGAGCUCCCGUAAUUUGUAAUACAUGGCGUCUAUGUGUUUUGUCCUCAAAUGGUAAACCGAAUUUUUUUGUGAGACAUAUAACAUUGACUAUCACAACAGAUGAUUACCUCAUCCUGUAUGAUCCCGAGUUUCUAACCAAAGCUCUAAGCUAAACUGCUUGCUUAGCCGCUUCAAUCGUCGCCAUAUACUCCGCUUCUACAGUUGACAAGGCUACAAUGUAUUUUAACGUAGAUUUCCAACUGAUUGGUUCGUCGCCAGCAAAAAUUUGUAAACUGUAAUAGACUUACACUUAUUCAAAUCACUAGUAUUCAAAAUCUACAAACUCCUUCAUUUUACCGUUACCGGAAUCUUUCGAGUAGAGAAUACCCAUAUCCACUAUGCCCUUCAGGUACCGUAGAAUUCACUUCACAGCCUCCUAUUCUUGUUUUUCUAGAUUUGACAUAUAUCGACUAACAACACUAAAUGCAUAAGAAAUAUGAAACCUAAUACAAAUCAUAGCAUACAUCAAGCAACCGACUGCACUAGCAUACAAUAACCUUUGACCUAGAAUUAAUCUCCUUAUCCGUCUUAGGACACAUCUUCUUAGAAAGUUUGAAGUGUUGGGCCGACAUAUUAAAUUGUUUUAGAAUAGCCUGUAUAUAUGUCUUUUGUGAUAGCCACAGCUUAUCCUGUAUGCGGUGUCGCCUGAUCUCCAUAUUUAGAAUUUUUCUAGCACUUCCUAGAUCCUUCAUAUCAAAUUCCCAACACAACUAAUCAUCACUACACUUCUUCUGAAUUCUUAGCCCGGUAUCAGCAUAUCAUCUACGCGUAAGUAGAAUAAACGAACCAUCUUCAAGCCUUCGAUAAUAAACACAAGUGUCGUAUAAACUAAUGCCAUAACCAUGCUCGAUCAUAAAUCCGUCAAACCAUCAGUACCAUUGCCUCGGUGCCUGCUUUAAUCUGUAGAGGGAUCUUUGCCUUAGUGCAUGCUUUAACCAGUAGAGUGAUCUUUGCCUCGGUGCUUGCUUUAACCCGUAGAGAAAUCUUUUCAAUUUGCACACCAGACUCUCCAUCGUCGGCUGAAUAAAGCCUUAAAACUACUCUAUGUAAAUUUUGUCUACUAGAGCCCCAUGAAGAAACGUGGUCCAAAAGUCAAGUUGCUGAAGCUCCAUAUCAAACAUAGCCAACAUAGCUAGAAGUAUCCUAAUCGACGCGUGCUUCACCACUGGCGGAGACACCUCCUUGAAGUCGACUCCCUUUAUCUGCGCAUAGCCCUUGGCUACUAACCACGCCUUAAUUUUUUAAGGUUUAGAAAAGUUCGUUAUGAUAGUUUGUUUGAGCUUUUCUCUGAAGAAGAGAAAUAAGAUGAAAAAGAGUGGUAAAAUAUAAAAGAAGUCAAGAUAGAGAAUAUUGAGUGGUGACUUCUUUUGUUUGGUUCACGUGCACUCGGUUCAUAGAGUUUAUAAACGAAUUGAUUCCUAUUCCUAUUGGUGGAUAUUGUAGCGAUACAGUGAGUCACGUUGAGUUCCGAGUAGGACUUCAAAUCAUACUUGACUUUGACCAGGCCCUACUACAUUAUAUAUAUCUGUAUGUGGUACCGGCCAGAGCUAAUUAGUAGAGGCUAAUAAAUUAAGGUGAUGUUUUUUUUUUUUGAGAGAUAGGUAGCAUGCUACCUGCUUCGUUUAUUUCAUUUAGAAAUAAACUUAGCUGAAAAUGUGAAUCAACUAGGAUUCAAAUUUGGGUCUCGGAUACCAACCACCAAGCCCUUUGCCACUUGCUCUAGGGACGGUCGGUAAAUUAAGGUGAUGUUAGCCCGGUCCUGAGAGUAUACAACAGCAAAGAGGAGUGGUGUUCGGCAGCUUGCAUGCGAUGUCAAGUGAGGUCGGCAGUAACGCAAAGGUUCUCGACUAAUUGCUUGAGCGGUUUGGCUUUACCGAAGCAACAAUACAAAGAAUUAUGGUAAAAAAUUUGAUGCUUCUCUAAUUUAGUCUUCUUUAAUUAAGGUUUCUCGAAAAACUCUUUCUGGUUAUUUUUUUGAAGUUUUUUGUUGGAAAGAGAGAAGGAUGGGUUUUAGAAUAAGGCUCUUGGUUUUUUGUUUGGAGAAGACAUAAGGUGCAAGCUUGUAUUUUUAUUUCCUCAUAUAGUGGAACACAUUCCUCUCACUCUCUCCAUGCUGAAUCACAUAAACAUCGGUCUGUUUUUUGCAUUUAUUUCUUUUACGAUUCAUUUUUCUCUAUUUUCAUGCAUCUGUGUUGGUAGCGCAUUACGAACGAUCAAUCUAAGUCCCCACCAUUAACCUUAUCUUUAUCUAUAGGAUCCACAACUAUAAAUUCAUGUCUAAUGAUUAGAACUUGGCUUAUAGAAGGAAUAAAUUCAACAUAAUCUUGCCACUAGCAGAAUCUUACGUUCAUAGUAUCUGCAACUGCAGAAGCUUAAAUGCAUAUGAUUUGCCUAAUCUAACAUUAGAAACCAUACACCUCUGCAUAAAUCAACAAAAUUACCUGGGUUUUUUCCGCUGAUGCCCAUGAACAUCUCAUGGAACUCCUCCUCCAUUAACGGCCCACGGCUCAACAAGGCUUGUAUAAGGGUAUGGUGCCUCCAAGUUAAAGGCGCCAUUUUCACCUCCCAGGAGAUCUACCAAAACCCUAAACUUCCAUUGAGCUCCAAGGGGGAACUCUUUGAAACCCUAAUUUUUACCUGAAUAAAGGAUCGGAAACGAACCCUAAGGUCGGAAGCGAAAAACCCUCGAUCGGCUUCGGAGAGAGCGCGCGCGCUUCUCCUCUUUUGUGGCGGGAGAAGCAGAAUCCGAGCUCGAGAAUCGAAGCGAGGGUUUUUGUAUCGGCGGGGUUUUAUCUUUUUAUCGGAUCCAAUUUGGGUUCGCACUCGUAAUUCGAAACGGACUUGGUAAGGUGCGGUGAGUCGGAUUCGUCUGGACCCGGUUAACGUGAAUGGAUCGGAUUAUUAAAUUUUUAACUAUUGACAUUAACUCAAGUUUUUAAGAGGGAUUUUUUUCACAAAAUAAUUUUCUAAAAUAUUAAUAUUUGCAAAAUAUUUUUUUCAAAAUUUUAUUUCGAAAACUAACUCUUCUUUCUCCACGUGAGCGUCACGCUGGGAUUUCUUUCACCUCCUUCAAUAAGGCAGCGAACAAUUCACUAUCUUCAUAAUAUAAUUAUUGAAGAUGAUUAAUAAUUCACUACCUUAGUGAAGGCGGUGACUCCACCUUGAUAAAUUUUCUAAGUUCUUGUAAUAUAUAAAGUGGAGGAGGUAAACCAUUUACCGUCUUUGUAAUAUAUUAAGUGAAGACGGUGAAUGGCUCACCGCCUUUAGUGCCCUAUAGGGGUGUAAUGUGGGCCGUGCCGGGCCGGCACGGCCCCCGGACCGAACCGGGCUGGAAGAUGGCGCGGCCCGCCCGUGCUAAAUCCGGCCGGGCCCGUGCGGGCCGCGAACCCCUGACCAUCCAGCCCAGCAGCCCCUGCCGGAAGGCACGGGCCUGUGCCGGCCGGGCCGUGCCUGCCUGGCCGUCGCGGCCGGCUCUUUUUUUUAUUUUUUAAUGUAAUCAUAUAAUUUUAAAAAAUAUGAACAAUAAAUUACAUUAUAUAAAACGAUAUUUGAUUAAAAAAAUUUAAAAUUUUUAAAAUACUUACAAAAAAAUAAUAUUUAAAUUUAUUUAAUAUAUGUUUGUAUUCUUUUUUUGAAAAAAAAUAAAGUUGGAAGGUUUUGGUCGCAAUGACCAAAAUUGGCUUUGUCUCAUGAUCAAUAUUACUCCUCCAAGGUCUGCCUAGGCAACCUUGGAGGACUAUUCCUUGGAGGAGGGCCAAGCCCUCCACCGAGGAGCAAACCCCAGGCCCGAAGGCAACUUUGCCUUGGGCCUGGGUUCCGGCCGCUGCUGGCCCGGCUGGCACGCCCAAGCGGCCGUGCCGUGCCUGGGCCAUGGCCCUCUCUGGCUCCUCGGCCCGGCACGGCCCAGGCCCGUUUCGGGCCGUGCCGUGCCGGGCCGUCGGGCUCCAAAUGUGAGGCCCAGCACGGCCCGAGGUGCCUGCCGGGCCCGGCCCGGCCCGGGUGCUACAGUGGCCGUGCCGGGCCACGGCCCGGCCCGCAGCCGUGCCGGGCCGGGCGGCCCACGUGCCGCCCGGCCCGUUUUACACCCCUAGUGCCCUACAACUUCAUUCUGAUUUUCUCUCGAUUUUCUCUAAGUCCUCGAGGCUGGUUUUGAAGCACAGAUAAGACGCUGGACAAUUCACUAUUUUUAUAAAGGCAGUGAACGGCUCACCGUCUUUAUGAAGACGGUGAGCCGUUCACCGUCUUCAUUACAAAUCGAUAACAACAAUUUGUACAAGUUUGGAGUAUUUUUUUUUUUUUGAGAGAGAUAGGUACCACGCUACCCGCUUCGUUUAUUUCAUUUAGAAAUAAACUUAGCUAGAAAUGUGAAUCAACUGGAAUUCGAACUUGGGUCUCGAGUACCAACCACCAAGCCCUUUGCCACUUGCUCUAGGGACGGUCAGUUGGAGCAAAAAAUUUUACGAGAACAAAAACUUUAACAACAAAAACAACCAAACAAGAAGAACAACAAGAUAUAUUAGAAAAUUUCGAAAGGGUGUAGCGUCGCACUAAAUGCGGUGAAUGGUUUACUGCCUGUUGAUGCCAAAAUUAAAAUUAACAUGCCGACCUAGCCCACGUAUGAGCUGAAGAAAUAAGGACACGUGGUACACUAGGAGUCGGCAAUAAGGCGCUUGAAGGUCAAAAGCGUUUAGACGGGAACGGUUGAGAAGUGGGGCGUAACUUCCAUGUGAAGUGGGGCAUAACUUUCAUGUGAAGUGGGACGUAACUUCCAUGAGAAAUGGGGCAUAACUUCCACGAUCAUGGUUACAACCACUUCCCCAACCAACCAAAAAUGUGGGCUGAGAAGACAUCACUAUAAAUAGUAAAGACAUCACUAUAAAUAGUAACUUCAAAGCCUGUAAUAAAGGUCUUUUCCCCUGAGAACAAAAGACCACCCUUAUUUCCUCUGCAUUUUAUCGCUUUUCUAUGAGUAGUCUAAAUGUAAUCUUUUUCUUUUCCGCAUUUACUGCUUUCCUAGGAGUAAUUCGCUAAGUAGAACCCUGAAGUCUGUUUGCCUCACGGGUAUCACUCCGUUGUAGACUAUAUUUGCAAAGUCUGUCUGCACCAUGGGCAUCACUCUAUUGUAAACUAUAUUUGCAGAGUCUAUAUGCCCUUUGGACACACUCUGUUUAAUAUAUAUAUAUAUAUAUAUAUAUAUAUAUAUAUAUAUAGCUUCGCUCUUUUAGCCGACCAGUUACUGUGUACUUCUUCUAUUCGGCUCUUCUGCCGACAUUGAUCCCUGCACAGUUCAUACAUUCGGCUUAUCCAGCCGAACCGAUUUUACGGUAAAGGUUUUCGAACCCGGUUGAUCCGAUCCCUCAUCAGCCGAAUCGCUUGAUCUGUCGAAGGGCGCACACUUCGAGGGUCAUCGUUCGCAGUCGUUCCACACCCCGACGCGCUCCCCGAGGAAGGUAUUUGACCGGGUCAAAGGUCGGAAAAUUCGGCUACCAACAAUUUUUUGGCACGCCCGGUGGGACAACAUUUUUAGGUAAAUUUAUAUUUUAUAUAAAUUAUGGCUGAUGAUAAUGCCAUGAAUUUGCGCAAUAGGGUUGUUCCUAGAAAUUCUGAGAGUGAUCAACCUAGUGAUUCAAACAAUGCUGGCGAAUGUCAAGCAGUUUUGCCAGUUGAAGGAGAAACUAGUGGACAGUCGGCUCAUCAAGAGCCGAGUCUAACUCAGGCGCUCGGCCAGAUGAGCCAAGUCCUGCAAACUUUAGAUUAAAAUAUCCAUCAAAGUACCGCUCGAUUAGACGCGGUGCUGGCUGCCAUCACGGCUUAUAAUAAAAAUAUUGCACGAAUGGGGCAAUUAUUGACUCGAAAUGAACAACCAAUGACAGGCUUACAAGGGUCUAUGAUGACACCGGUGUUGCAAAAUCCUGCAACACCGGUAAAUGGACAGCCCCAAUACCAUGGGGCACCAUUCCAAGCGGCUUACAGGCCAGCCGUCGUCAAUACCGGUCAACAGCUGGAAAUUGCAUGGGGAUUGCCACUACCCCCGCAGAUGACAACAUACUAGCCCCAAAAUAUAGGGGCUAGAGCUGGGGGGCAGGUUCCAAAUAUUCAAGAAGCAAAUCCCAUAGUACAAAACUUCGGACCAUUACAAGGACCGAAUGUAGCACAAGCACAAGUUCCUUUGCAGGAAAACAAUGAUGAAAUAUAUGCGCAAAUCGAAGAAGCCAUCCGAAAUACUGUUGAAAUAGGUGCAAGGCCGGCAAUGCGGCCUAUGUUUAGAUCACCUUAUCCUACAAAUAUAGACAUAGAGCAUCCAUACCCGGCAAACUAGAAAAUACCGAAGUUUGAUAAAUUUUUUGGGGAUGAGACCGAAAACACGGUUGAACAUGUGACGCGGUUCACGGCACAGUGCAGGGAAGCCGCGACAGAUCCAUUUUUAAAAUUAAGAUUGUUUAACACGUCGUUAACUAAAACGGCGUUUACUUGGUAUACAAGUUUAUCAACCAAUUCCGUCCAAGAUUGGGACAAAUUGGAAAGAAAAUUUCAUGAGCGAUUCUAUAGGUCGGAGCCACAAUUAUCGGUUGUCGACUUGGCUUUACAACGACAAAUGUCAGAUGAAACGGUUGAAGAGUAUUUGAACCGUUUCAAAAUAGCCAAAACCCGGUGCUUUAUGAGAAUGCUGGAAUCAGAGUUCGCCAAAAUUGCGUUAAAUAGUCUGCAUUUUAAGAUAAAAGACUAUUUUGAAGAUAAGUAUUUUUCUAACCUAUUUGAUCUAGGUAUUCGAGUUGCCCAAUAUGAGCAAUUUCGGAAGGAAAGUGAGGACAAUCGGCUGCAAUGGAGUCGAUAUAAAAAGCAAAGCAAAGGCAAAGAGAACUUCUUGAUAGAAGAACAGUCGGUUCAAAAAGAGCCGAGCCAAUCAAGUGAAAGUGAAGAAUCGGCUGAUGAAGCCAAGGUAUAUGCGGCUGGUAAAGAGCCAAUUUCUUCAAGAAGAAAUCUUGAUAGAAGAACAUUCGGUUCAAAAAGAGCCGAACCAAUCAAGUAAAGUAAAGAAUCGGCUGAUGAAGCUGAGGUAUAUACGGCUGGGACGAUAAAGAGCCGUUUUCUUAAAGCCGACCAGGACCAGCAAAACCAAAGCUUGGGUCUCAGCUGUGUCAUUUGAGCAGUCAAUUUGGCACCAAUAGUUAUCCGAAUGUUCAUUCGAAAGGCUAUUGGGGUGGCAUUGUUGAUGCCAAUAUUGAAAUUAACAUGCCGACCUAGCUCACGUAUGAGCCGAAGAAAUAAGGAUACGUGGUACACCAGGAGUCGGCAAUAAGGCGCCUGAAGGCCAAGAGUGUUUAGGCGGGAACGGUUGAGAAGUGGGGCGUAACUUCCAUGUGAAGUGGGGCAUAACUUCCAUGUGAAGUGGGACGUAACUUUCAUGAGAAGUGGGGCAUAACUUCCACGAUCAUGGUUACAACCACUCCCCCAACCAACCAAAAAUGUGGGCUGAGAAGAUAUCACUAUAAAUAGUAACUUCAAAGCCUGUAAUAAAGGUCUUUUUCCCUGGGAAUAAAAGACCACCCUUAUUUCCUCUGUAUUUUAUCGCUUUUCUAGGAGUAGUCUAAAUAUAAUCUUUUUCUUUUCCGCAUUUACUGCUUUUCUAGGAGUAGUUCACUAAGUAGAACCCUGGAGUCUGUCUGCCCCACGGGCAUCACUCCGUUGUAGACUAUAUUUGCAGAGUCUGUCUGCACUAUAGGCAUCACUCUGUUGUAAACUAUAUUUGCAGAGUCUGUAUGCCCUUUGGGCACACUCUAUUUAAUUAAUAUAUAAAUAUAUAUAUACAUAUACAUAUAUGUAUAUAUAUACAUAUAUGUAUAUCAAUAGUAUAUUAUGCUAUAUCAUGUAAACUGUAUAACAAUAUAAUAUCUAUAAUAUAUAUAAUUAAUAUAAUAAUAUAGAAUACGCUAAUAUAACUAUUAAUAGGGCACUAAGUCAUUGGCUUGCUAACCAAGUUUUGGCCAUUGAUAAGAGAUGUAUGGUUAAGAGAUAUGGGCCCCUAGGUGAUGGGUGGUUGGGUUGAAUCUAUGAUCUAAACGAGUGAAAAUAGUCUCAAAUAGUAAGCCACGGUGGAAAACUGUAGCACCAAGUGUUUCGUAGCUAUUAAAUCAGCAUGCGUUGGGAGUAGAUGGACUCUAUAUAUACUAUCUAUUAAUAUAUAAUUAUAUACAUCUUAUAUAUAUGUAUAUAUAAUGAUCUAAUGUAUAUAUAUAUUAUAUUAGAUAAUAUAUAUAUACAUCUAUGAAUAUUGUAUAAUGUAACAUAUAUAGUUAUAAACAUGUAUAUGUAUACAUAUAGUAUAUAGUUAUACACAUUAUAUGUAUAUCUAAUAUACCAUAUAAUAUAUAUAUUACUAUAUAUACAUAUAUACAUAUAUGGUUUAUAUUGUAUAAUAUACUAGAUUAACUAUUAAAUAUAUACAAUAUACAUAUAUGUAUAUAUAUAAUAUAUAAACAUAUACUGUAUAUAUAUACCAUAUAUACAAUAUAUAUUAUUAAUUAAUACCAUAUAACUAUAUAUAUAUAUUGUCUAUAUAUACUACAUAGAUGUAAUAUAUGUAUAUAUAUAGAAUUGUAAUAUAGGACAGAUGUAUAUAGUAUAUAGUAUAUAUAUAAUACACUAUAAUAUUAUAUAUGUUAUGUAUAUAACAUCAUAUAUAUAUUUAUUGUUAUAUAUACAAUAUAUAUACAUCUAUAUAUAUACAGAUGUAUAAGAUAUGUAUUUUUUAAUUUAAUAGAUAUAUAUAUGUAAUGUUAUAUAUAAAUGUAUAUAUAUUAUUAUGUCUAAUAUAUAUAAUUGUAUAUACAUUAACACUAUAUUAUCUAUGUAUAUUUAUCAUAUAUAUAUAUAUAUAUAUGUACAGAUGUAUUAUUAUAUUAUGUAUUAAUAUAUCACAUAGAUAUAUAUACUUAUGUAUGUAUAUAUUCAACAGACUGUCAUAAUUAUAUGAUGGUAUGUAUACAGUACACACAUUAAUAUUAUGAUAAUAGCACUGCCAUACAUUAUAUAAUACUAUUAUAUGCCUGCUAUGUAUGUACUAUAAUACACAUUUAUAUAACUAUAUUUAUAUCUAAUGUCUACAAAUAUAUAUUAUAUCUAUGUAAUUAAUAACAGACAUACAUAAUAUAUAUAUAUAUCCUGUAUUAUACUACCAUACAUAUAUAUAUAUAUAUAUAUACAUAUAUACAUAUAUGUAUAUAUAUAUACAUAUAUAUAUAUACAUAUAUAUACAUAUAUAUAUAUACAUAUAUAUACAUAUAGGCAUUCGGCUUCUUCAGCCGAUCAGUUACUGUGUACUUCUUCUAUUCGGCUCUUCUGCCAACAUUGAUCCCUGCACAGUUCAUACAUUCAGCUCAUCCAGCCGAACCGAUUCUACGAUAAAGAUUUUCGAAUCCGGCUGAUCCGAUCCCUUAUCAGCAGAAUCACUUGAUCUGUCGAAGGGCGCACACUUCGAGGGUCAUCGUUCGCAGCCGUUCCUCACCCUAACGCGCUCCCCGAGGAAGAUAUUUGACCGGGUCAAGGGUCGGAAAAUUUGGCUACCAACACUGCCUUAGUGAAUGUGGUGAAGUAUUUACCGGCUUCAUUGGACUUUACUAGAUAUAUUAGAAAGAUGGUGAAGGCGAUGAACGAUUCAUCAUCUUCACAAGAAUUAUUCUACUUGGCGCCUACGUGGCGAAAGGAUGGUUAAUUAGUUUUACAAAUAUAAAUUUUAGAGAGUUAUUUUGCAAAUUUUAAAUUUUAAGAGGAUUAUUUUAUAAAAAAAUCCUUUUAAGGGCGUGUAUGGUUAACGGUUUUCUUUUUUAAAAAAAGAUUGGCAAUAAAAAGUUGGAAUUAUAAAAUUUUAUAUUUAUUUUUAUCACAAAAUUUAAUAUAACAGGAAUUAAAAAUUUCUGUAUAAUUUUAUAAUCUCUUGAAACAUGAGAUUCAAACAUCCAACUCCUCCUCCCUAGGAGAAUUCUUUUCCUAAAAAAUUUGAGUUAAAAGGAAUAAAAUAUUCUUGUUCACAUUUUAUAUCCAUUUCAAUUUUUAAAUUAAGUACGGAAAUUAAAUAAAAUUAUGAAUCUCCUAAAUUUAGGAAUAUUUAAAUAGAUUUUAUCCUCAAAUCUUUAUGAUUUUUAUAUGAUUAAUUUAGUGUAACAUGACAUAUACAUAUACUAUGAGUUUCUAUAAAAAAUAAAGUAUUGUAAUAAUUGUAUUAAUAUAACUGAAUAAAUUAGUGUCUGAGUUAAAUGUAGAAAUAACUAUUUCCGAUAUGUGCCAUGCAAAAAUAUUUUUACAAAAUAGAAAUUUUAUCAUGAGAAUAAAUUUUAAAAAGUUAAUUGUCAGCUAAAAUUUUAAUUUAUGUGAACUAAACGGCCCAAAAGUUUUUUUUUGUCCCCGAGAAAAAAGUCCAUACAUAAAUUUACUAGAGCUUAAUCCGUUAUGAAAUAGUUGUAAAGGGCUCUGUGGUUGAUACCCGAGGUUCCAAGUGUGAAUCCUAAUUGAUUCCCAUUUCUAUCUAAACUAGUGUAGAGACCCACGCGAUGCAGCGGGUAGAUAAUAAAAAUAAAUUUUUAAUAUUUUAAUAAAUUUUAUAUUUGCAGCUUAUAGGAAGCUAUAUCAUGUUAAGCACAGUCAAUUUGCAUGACUAAAUUCAGUUGUUAAAAAAAUAAAAUAAUAGCUAGAAGUAUAUGAAAUACAUAAAUAAUAACUUAACGUAUCUGGCUUAAGAAAAUUUUGGUUGGCAUUUCAGGCUCCAAUCUCCGCAUCAUACUUUUUAAUCUACGAAAGAAAUUUUGCCCACAACAGUGUCUACUUAAAAAAAUGAUCAUAAUAUAAAAAUAAAACAAAAAACAUCAAUCUUAAAAAAAUUAAUAUUUUUUUGGAGCACUUCUCUUACUCAUCCAAAUCUCAUACAUCUUCUUAAUCUUCAGCUGGUAGUUGCUCCGCGUGCCGAGUCAUUUCUGGAUUUCUAUUGUAACCUAUGAACAAACACCUUAUUUGCAUCACCAAACUGCGAUAUUUAAACCGAUACAGCCUUGCCAUCACAUCAACCUUAGAAAUCCUUAUUCUUAAACAAUUUGAUUUAUCAAGAAGUUCCUGCGAUUCUUGAGAAGCGAGCUCCCGCGCAACGUUGCCGCCAAGAGAAGGCUAGGACGACGCUCCCCUUGGCCUAGUUGCGGGCGCGUGCGAGCCGUACGAGGAGGCAGCCGAGGCGGCGGCGGUUCACGGCGAGCGACGGCUCCGGUGCAGACCAGCCCAGCGAGCACUUAUAUGGGCCGCGGCUGGACUUUACAGGACGAUAUUUUUUGAAGAAGACAACGUUCUUCGCAUGUUCUUCUUAUUUAUCAUCCUCAUAAUUUUUGUUAACACAAUGAGAUAGAGAGAAGGAGAUGAGUGUGGGGUGAGAGAUUAGAUGAUAAUGUUUCUUUUUGCAUGAAAAAUAACAUGUCAUGCAAGAAAGAGGGGGUGAGGGGAUUAAUGGUGGAGGGGAGUAGAUUGGUGUUACAAAGCUCACUAAUUGAUGAAAUAUAAUGCAUGUAAUUAAAUGUGGAAAGGUGAAGGGUUGAGCAUUUAGAAGUGGAGAUUAAUGGUGGAGGGGAAUGGAUUGGAAUUACAAAGCUCACUAAUUGAUAGAAUAUGAUGCAUGCAAUUAAAUGUGGAGAGAUGAAGGGUUUAGCAUAGCAUUUAGAAGUGAGGAUUAAUAGUGGAGGGGAGUGGAUUGGAGUUACAAAGCUCACUAAUUGGUGAAAUAUAAUGCAUGUAAUUAAAAGUAUGAGAGAUGAAAGGGUUACGCAUUUAGAAAGCGAAUGGUUGGAGAAGAAACGUAAGAUUUUAUAUUGAGGAUGGCAGCAUAUAAGAGAUAGGAUUAUGAUAUCUAUAAUCCAAGAAGAAGGCGGUUUUCUUGCCACGUGGCCCCAAGAAACAUUGUAGCAUUCAUAUGUCUUAAUAGAUUUAUUUUUAAUAAAUAACGUUAGGGGGUAGCCGAUGCUGCAUAUUCUUUCAAAAUCUAUUAUUAGUAUAUCUAUAUAUAUACAGGUCAGUAGGUAUGAUAUAUUAUACUGUAUCGCUAUAUUAUAUUAAAAUUCUAACUUUCAUUUUUUUUUGAACUUUUCAUUUAAUAAUAGAGUUGACAAUCUAAUCUGCUAUUCGUGAGUUAGCUUAUCUGCGGUUCGUUAAUAAAUGAGCUGAACUUCUUAGCUCAAUAUUUUAAUAAACCAGUUUGUGUUCGGCCCGUUUAAUAAACGAAGUAACAUGAGCCUUUCGUGUUCGGCUCGUCAACAGCCCAUAAUUUGAAACCGUGCAAUGCUCUCUUUUGGGCCCUAGAUGGGCCGACUAUUUUUUAACUUAUAUUAUUCCCUGCGAGCCCAACGUGUGCGAUUGUAGCGACUCCGUACGUACGACUCCCCCUUAUCCACCGAGCGAACGGCGGGAACCGCCCAAAAAUGCGAACGGCUCCCGAACCCUCAUCAUGGCCUCCCCCGCCGCCUCGAGAUUCGCGCACUCCUCCGUCCCCUUCCCGCGGCCUCGGACCAUCUCCGCCGCCGCUGCCGCCGCCGCCGCCGCCACCGCCGCCUCCUUCCCCCACCCACCUCCGAAGCCCUACCACGCCUCCCCCUUGCCCCGAUCCAACCCCCACCAACGCCGCCGCCGCCGCGCCGCCGGAUUCCUCCUCCGACACCGGCUCUCCGGCGGCGACGUCCCGCAGGAGCCGCCUCGGGGCGACGGCGACGGCGAGGGGCCGAGCUUCGACCUCGCCGUGGGGCUCUUCAACGGCGGGGACUACUACGGGUGCCACGACGCGCUCGACGAGCUCUGGUACGGCGCCGAGGAUCCGAUCCGGACCCUCCUCCACGGGGUUCUCCAAUGCGCCGUGGGAUUGCACCAUCUCUUCAAUCAGGUGAGGUCGGAAAACCCUAGCUCUCUCGUCCUCUUUGAUUCCCGGGGUUUCAAGGCUCCAGGAUAUUUUCAUUUUUUCCAGGUGAAAAUGUAUGCAAGAUCCCUCAACUAUAGGCUAUUUUGAAAUUAGACCUUUUAUUUUAUUUCAUUCUUUCCUCUUACACUUGAAUGUUACUUUCUGAAAUCAUGCACUUCAUUUUCUAACCUGAAUCUGUAUUUGUCAAAAUUCAAAAUUCGCAGUUCCGUCAGAUAAUAUCAGCAGUUAACUGUCGCCAAAACCUGCACUUUCAUCUAAAAGUAGUUAAAUUUGAUAACAUUCCAUUUUCAUUGAUAGAAAUAACUUCAAAUUUUUGUACAUAUUCUUUCUUUAAAUUUUCGGAGUCGGUAUCAAUCAGAACCAUCGAGGCGCGAUGAUGGAGUUGGGCGAGGGGCUCUGCAAGCUCCGGAAGAUGGGUUUUGACGGCGGGCCAUUCCUUCGGUUCGAGGAGGAGGUCUCUGCGGUGUUGGAGUUUGUGUACCAGACGCAAAAGGAGCUCGCCGCAUGUAAGCUUUCGACAUUUUAAGAAAUUCGUGGUUUUUGGUGUUAUAGACUAUUUUAGAAAAACUUUCCUUGCACCUUAGCUCAUGUCAUCUUUUGGCUCCGAAUAAAAUGUUUCACCAAUUUCAAUUCCGUACCUUACAACCUUCUCAAAUGAGUCCAAGAAUUUGUGAUAGUUAGUAAAUUUGGAUGUAAAAUAACACAGGAACGCGUUAGGAGAUUGUAUCAACUCAUAUUUAAUGAAGUGGAAUCACUUUGAUUAUAUAUAUUGUCCAAUAAACUAUCAAUUUUAAUAGCUCAAGUAAAAGAGUUAUGUAUUUUUCUAAUCUAUGAUGAUAAUGCAUUUUGCUGUUUCUAUGCCCGUAUCUCUGAAAUCAAGCUAAGCUCUUAGUAUACUAACCGACACCAUUCCUUGCUUAUAAAAGUACAAGGCCAAAAGGACGAUUCACACCAUUGUAAUACAUGCUCCUUUUCCUCAGUUGCCAAGGUCGUAGAUUUGGAUUGAUUUUGAUUUUACGGAAAGGAUCGGGUAAUGUAAUAUUCUUAUGUAGGAGUGUAAAUUAGGGAUAGGCUAAAGUGCAUGGUUCAUUUUUUUUUUUCCCCUGUAAUUCAAUCAGAAUAUUCUGGUAAGUUAUACACUGGGUGUACUCAAUAUUUUGGUGAAGUUUUAUAUUCGUAAUUUACCUUUCAAUUUUGAUAGUUAGGUGAUUAAUCUUUGGACUUCUUUGCAGUAUAACCGUUUUAGUGAAUUUUCCAAUGAAAUUGAAAUGUCCAUGUAACCGACAUGUAAAUGGUAAGAUACGUUAAUUUCUACAUUGUAUUAAAGUUGACAAAUAAACACUUAUUUGGCAUUUAUAUGGUGAUUACAUGUGAUUGUGUGGACAUACAAUACUUUCAAUGAAGAGCAAGAGAAGGACUUUUAAGACAAUGAUGAAGUACAAAAAAGUAAAAAACUAGGGACUUGAUUGUAAAAUUUUAAAACUUUUAGGGCCACAGUAAACUUCAACAGACGGUUGAAGACUUGUCGCGUAGUGUUUUUUUAUGAAAACAUGAUAUAGUUUCUAAAAUAAUAUUUGAAAGUUCAACAGUUUAUUGUGGACUAUUAUUUUGUUUACUUCUGAAACUGCAUGAUUUACUAGGACUAAGAAUGAAUAUAUAAGAAAAGUUGAAAUAUUUUAGGAGGCAACAUUUAAUUGACAUUGUAUAUGUUGUCAAAUGUUGACCCUUUGUUAGAAAUAUUAGCAAGCUCGACUUUGCUAUUUCUAACUAGCUUUCUUAAUGAGCACCAAAUGAUAUAUGAACUUAAAUGUUAUCGACAGUUCGAGGUUUUGGAAGAAGAAUGUCAUAUUGAUGUUUGCUCACAGAAUUUUAUUACACUAAUCACCGGGUUUCUCACUUGCUCUUCUUUUUCUGUUCUCUAGUUCUUGAAAUAAUUGUCUUAAUCAGUCACGUUCGUUAAGUGCAGAACUGAAGAGCUAUUUAUAAAAUAUUUAGGUGGAUGGUGGUUGUAUUAGAAGAUUUAUCAUGUUCGGUGCAUUGAUACUUCUGGGAGAUGUGUUUUGUAUGCUUUUUUUGAAACAAAAUGAGAUUUGUUGACAAAACAAGUUGAUCAUGCUAUAAUUUUUUUUUUUUUUUUAUUUGUUUUGUUCUGUUUAUAUGCAUGCAUCAUAGGUUUUGAUUUUCAGAAAAAGAUCAAACAAAUGGACUUGCACUUGCUAUGAAACUUAAUUCGAGCAGUACUUUAAUAGUGAAUGUGUGUAGCUUUUGCACAUUUGCCAGUACUUUUCUUUAUAUUGCUGCUUGAUUCAAGCAGUGACGCAUUCUUAAGCAUAAAGAGGUGCACCUACUCUGUUAUUUAGUUCGUGUUCGUGGUGCCGUUAUGUUGUUAGUAUUCACGUCAGGUUAUUUGCAACGCAGUAUAUUUUGUUUUCUUUUCUUGCGACGUUUUGCAAACGCCGCUAGACCUGUACCAUGAAUAUUAUUAAGCUUGUGCAUGAUCAAUUUUACUUGCCAUUUUAAUCGCAUUGCGCAGAUGCAGGUGUGCUUGCGUCCGCGCACACAAAAGAAACAAAGACUUGAGAACUGUUGUUUUGCACUUGCGCAGGUACUGAGGAGCUCUGUUUAGCGAUGGAUGGCUCCGAGAGAUCUUAUCAACUGCUCGGCAGUUUUGCCGCUGGGCAACAAUUAUACCACCGGGAUAUCGAUGAAGAUGGAGUUGCCUACAUAAUCUUCUCCGUGGUCAAUCACUACAGUUCGAAAAGGCCUUCCAAAAUUAGGGUUCCGAUUCUCCAUGCCACUGAGGGACAUCUCAAGGAAUUUGAGGAUAAAUGGUAAUUUGUACAGUAAAUCAUUUGAGUAAACAUAGUUACCUAUAUGUCAUGAACUUAGUGAUUUUGCUCGUCAAAACCUGUGCGGCGUCUGCCUUCCUAUUCGAAGAUGGACAAGUUUAUUUCGAUCUUGCUCGCCAGGAGCUCCGUGCCUUCAAAGACUAAGUACAAGAAAGAGAAAACGAAAGAGAGUGUAUCUGUAGUUUCUGUUUCUAAUAGCGGAGUACUUAGUCUUUAAGGGUGCGGAGGUCCGGAUUAGCAAGAUUGAGGCAGGCUUGCCCAUCUUCGAACAGAAAGGCGGGCACCGCACGGGAAGCAAGGCGACUUUGGGUUCGUUUGGGGUUGCAAGUAGAGCGCCUUGCGCAUGCUCAAAUAAGUUCGUACAUUGUCCAAGGUUACGAUAUAGUUUUUGCGACCGCAUUGGAAAGGAAAAUAGAGUGGACGAGGCAUGCAGAGUGAAGAUGCGUUCGCCGGCGAGAAGCAAGGUGGUCCGGUGAUAGCCGGAGUAGUUGUGGGUAGGAGUGUCGACGAGCCGAACACGAGCGAGCUGAGGUCGGCUCGUGUUCAGCUCGUUUCAUAAACGAGUCGAAUACGAGCUGGUCAUAAGAAUUUAAAAGAAUUAGAAAGAANCGUUUAUUAACGAGCCGAACACGAGCCUAAUAAGAGCUGGCUUAUGAAUACUAAUUUAAAAGGGGUAGAAAGAAUGUAUAUAGGAAAUAAAUUUACACAAUCUUACCUAUUAUACUUUGAUCUAAUAAUUAAAAUUUUACACAUAAAUGAAUUAUUUUAUAAUUGAGUUUUGCUUUAUAUUUAGGGUGGGCUAAAAAUUAAAAAAUAAAAAUUUAUAUUAUAUACAUAUAUAAUUAUUAAUAUAUAUAUAAAUAUAAAAUAUAUGUAUACGAGCUGUUAUCGAGCCGAAUACGAGCGAGUUGAUCUCAGCUCGUGUUCAGCUCGUUUAUUAAACUGGUUGAAAAUUUCAGCUCGUGCUUCGCUCGUUUACUAAACGAGCAAUUCGAUCUCGAAUUCAUUUCGAGCAGAACACGAGUUGGCUUGCGAACACCGAGCUGGAUUGCCAUCCGUAGUUGUGGACAAUCGGCGUUGAAUGAUUGUUUACGGAUGAGGGCUUCUACAUUACAAUUACUCAUCCUAAGUUUUAAUUUUUUUUUUUUAAUUUUUUUUUUUCUAGAUUUUGCUUAAUUGUUCCGGAAAUCUCUAGAACAAGCUGCCUGAAUAAAUUAAAAAGAUUUGUCAGGUAAGAAUUUAUACAUCCCAAGGAGGGGGUUGUAUUCGUGUGAUUUAAUAAAAUAUAAAAUUAUUUUAAUAAAGUUAAAAAAAUAUAAUAUUUAUGAAUUUUUCGUUGUAAACAUGACAUCGCAACCAUAUUAUUCGUUUUCGAUUUCGCAACCAUCCAAUUAUUAAAAAUUAGUUGGUGGAGAAGAGGAACAUCAAAUAAUUGAUGUAUUAUCUAAUACCAAUAAUUAACAAAUUAACAAACCAAAGAGCAAAAAAAAAAAAAAAAAAAAGUUAAUUACUCUAUUGGUCCCCUCUUUUUUUUUCUUUUUUUUCCUUUUUUUUUUUUUUAUACUUUGGAUCUCAAUUUUUAUUUUCUGCAAUCAAAUCACCAAUAGGUUAAUUUUUGAUGGAAAGUGUCAAGCCAGUCCCAGCUACUUAUAUUAUUUAAAUUUAAAUUUAUAUUAAAAGUUCAAGUUUCAAAUUUAAUUUAUAUACUGAAUUAAAUUUGAAGUUGCAAUUUUAUAUUUUGAUCUUAUAUUCAAAUUUCAAAUUUAAGUUUAACUUUGAAUUUGAAUUUCAAAUUUAAAUUUACUUUUGGAUUUAAAUUUUUAAUUUGGAUUUAAAUUUUAAAUUCGAAUUCAAAUUCGGAUGUUGUACAUAGUUUUAAAUUCAAAUUCAGUUUUUUGAAUUUAAUUUUCAAUUUUAACUUCCAAUGUAGAUUUUGAGUUUCAAAUUCAAAAUGUGAAUUUGAAUUCGAGUUCAAAAUUAAAAAUUAGAUUUAAAAUAAAUUUAAAAUUCAAAUUAAAAAUCUGAAAUCAAAUUUCAAUUUCAAUUCAAAUUCAGAUCUUGAAUUAAUUUUAAAUUCAUAUUUUGAACUCAAAUGUCAAUUCAAUUCACAUCCGGGUUUUCAAUUUAAAAUUUUGAUUUAAAGUAAAUUAAAAAUUUGAAUUGAAAUUCAAAGUUUGAAUUUGACUUCGAAAUUGAAUUGAAAUUUAAUUCAGAUUUUGAAUUGAAAUUUGAAAUUCAAAUUUAUAUUUUGAGUUUGAAUUCAACUUUUAGACUCAAUAUUGAUUCCUAACAUCAAAAUUAAUUUUCAAUAGUUGAAAUCAAAAUUCAAAUUCAAUUUCAAAGUCAAAUACAAAACUUGAAUUUCAAUUCAAAAUUUUACUUUACUUUUAAAUCAAAGUUGUAGCUUUAAAUUCUAAUUAAAAAUUUAAUUUUAAUUAUACCAUUGGUUUCCAACCUUUUGUUUCUUUUUUGCUUUAGUCUUGAUGCUGAGAUGGCGCUGACAACACACAUGGCAUCAAAUUUAAACUCUUUUAAAGCUAAAAUCCAAUUGUAAUAAAACACCUCUUUUUCUUUUUUUUUUUUUUUUUUUUUUUUUUGGGAGCUUUAGUCUCUAAAAUAAUCUAGUACUGUUUUGGUGGUGCUGACACGACGCUUGCAUUAAAUUUAACGGCUCUUUUGUAGCUAAGAUUUAAUUAUAAUUAAAUAAUAAAGUUAAAAGCCGUGGACCAAAAGUGCAUUAAUGGUUUUUGACGGUUGAGACUUAAUUAUAAUAAAAUAAUAAAAAUCAAAGGUUGGGAAUUAGAGUGCAAUUAAUACAAAAAAAAAGAGCAACAUUAUUAGAGGUUGUACAAGAGUCAUCAUUCACUAGGGAUGCAAACGGAUCCGGGUUGGUGGAGCCCCCGCCUCGAUUCGCCCCGACGGGGGCAGUAAAUGAGAGAAAAUAAACGGAUUUGGGGCGGAAAAUGGGUUAAAUUUUAUGAUCAGAGACGGAUUUGGGGCAGGAAAUAGGAGAAAUUUUGACAUGUCCCGAAUUCGCCCCGCCAUGAUCCGCCCUGAAUCUGCCCCGAAAAAUAUUUAUAUUUUUAAAAAAUAUUUCUAAAAAAUAAUGUAUUUACCAAAAAGUUUAAAAUACAAAUAACUUAGUACUCUCAUUUCUAAUGUAUUUGAAAAUUUUGAAUUUUAUUUUAAAUUGUGAUUGAUAUUUUUUAUUUUUAUAAUUAAUAUUGUUAAAUUAUAUAUAUAAUAUUAUUAAAAAUUAUUAAUUUAUAUUUUACAAAAUAUUAAUAAUAUUAUAAUUUUAUAAAAAAUAUUAGUUGGCGGGGGCGGAUUCGGGGCGCAGGCAGGAGGCGGAUUACGAGGCGGGGCGAAUUAUGGGAUGUAUUUUUUAGCCUGUCACGGAUUCAGGACGGGAGGCGGAGCGGGCUUUUGCUAGUCGGGGCAAGAGGCGGAGCGGGGCUCCCGCCCCAGGAUCCGCCACGUUUGCAUCCCUAUCAUUCACCUACUUAUCACGUCAAAUUUUUUUUUUUUUCUUUCACUAUAACCCUUAGAUUUUUGGGAAUUUUAGAAUAAAAGUGUAUGAUUUAUUUAUUUAUUUUUUUUUUUGAGAUGUACAAAUAGAAUUUCUAAGGAAAUUAGAUGCACAUCUGUGCAUAGCACCAAAAUAUGUGGAGAGAUAUCAUACAAGUUCCUUCACAAUUAUCCUUCACUUUAGAUUUUAAGAGUUGAGCAAGCAUAUUUAUAAAACUACGUUCGCAUUAUUGCCCCUGAUGAUAAAACAUUCAAAUCAACAAUCGACUUCAUUAAACAUUAUCUGCAAUUCACAAUCUUUUUAAAAAUCAAAUUUUAUAAUAUUUUAAUACUAUUUAUAUAUGUUAUUUAAGUGAUUUCAAAAUUAAUAUUUUUUACAGCAAAUAUAAGAUAUAUUUAAGAUCACUUGAUUAAUUGAUAAGUAAUUUCAUAAAAUCACAAAUCCGGUUCCUAAAAAGUGCAAAUAUUAUAUAUGAUCUUUGAUUUGGAUGCCCAAUAAUUAAUUAAAAACAACAUGAAAAUAUUACCAACUUGAUACUUUCAAAAUAUAAUAGCUUAGUUCUUGAUUUUUUUAUUGUAUUAUUUUUUCAAUCCUAAAAUAAAAAUCUCACGGCACAAUUAAAGGCAUGUUUCGUUCUACAUAAAACUAGUCUGAUUUUUUUUUUUUUCUUUUCCUUUGUAAAAUGAUUUUCACUUGUUUGGCUCCACGUAAAAUUGUCUUUCCAUUAAAAAUUUUUACAAAUGAUAUAUUUUUGUUUUCUGCACAAAAAAAGCAAAAAUGCAAAACCAAUUUGUCGUAAAAACUUUUUUUUUAUCAAAUAUAUAUAUAUAUAUAUAUAUAUAGAGAGAGAGAGAGAGAGAGAGAGCGGGGCUACUAUUUUGGAGUUAUUAAACAUUAUUUAGGUAGUGAAUAGAAUUUUCUAUCAAAAAUUCAAUCUAUUCCAAUUCUUGUACACCGUUAAACUAGCAAAUAUCUCAUACUAAUCGUUAAAAAUUGUCAAUUUUGUAACAUUUUGAUCGUAAGAUAAAUGAUGUCGAAAAAUUAUGAAAUUUGAUUUCUAAAAGUUUUAAAUGUUCUAAAUAAUGUUUAAUGGUAUGGAUAAUCGAUUUGGAAGUUCUAUCAUCAAAAUCGACUUAUGAGUACAAGGACGAUCGUACUCAUAAGUAUAGUAACUGAACUCUCUCUGUCCCUCUCUCUCUCUCUCUCUCUCUCUCUCUCUCUAUAUAGAAUUAGGCCACUAUAUUAUCUAUAGUACCGGAGCUCCGGUACUAUAGUCUCAUUUUUGAUCUUAGGUUGUUCAAAUUAACGAUUCACACCUUUAAAUAUGUUCUAGGGUAUAUGGAGUUCUUAAAAAUAAAAUUUUAAAUUUUUUCGACAUCGUUUACUUAGUAAGUAAAUCAUGUCAAAAUGAAUGAUUGAAAUUGAGCAAUCUUUAAAAUUUGAGAAUAGAACUUUUAAAUUCAAGAUUAAGGAUGUUAAUCUUGAUCUAAAUAGUUUAAAAUAUUUUUUAUCAAAAUUUGAAUAAAUUUAGAUUUUUUUACACCGUUAAACUACAAACUCACCAUACUAGCCAUUGAAAAUUGACAAUUUCAAAAUAAUUUGAUCAUAAAGUAAACUAUGUUAAAAAAAUAUAAAAUUUUAUUCCUAAAAACUUCAAAUAUCCUACAUCAGUUUUAAUAAUAUGGAUCGUUGAUUUAAACAUUCUAAAGUUAAAAACGAGACUAUAGUACCAAAAUCCCGCUAGUAUAGAUAGUGUAGUAGUCUCUCUCUCUCUCUUAAUAUAUAUAUAUAUAUAUAUAUAUAUAUAUAUAUAUAUAUAUAUAUAUAUAUAUAAUAUAUAUAUAUAUAUAUACUAUACUAUCGGUAGCACGGACGCUCCGUGCUACAAGUUGUUUUCGAUGAUGCAGUUUUCAAAUCGACGAUCGGCUCCGUAACAUUGAUCUACACUAUUGAAAGUAUUUAGAAACUAAAUUUCAUAAUUUUUCGAUAUCAUUUACCUAUCAAACAAGUAGUCUAAAAUUGAACGGCUAAAAAUAAAAAUCUCAUGAAAAAUGAUGAUAAAAAAUUUAAAUUCAAGAUACAGAUAUACUGAUCUUACUCUAAAUAGUGAAAAGAAUUUUCUAAAUAAUUUUUCAUCGCAUUUGAUUGUUUUACAACCGUUAAACUCACAACACACCACAUCGCCAUUAAAAUGUCAAUUUUGAGAUCUUUUGAUCACUAGUCAAAUGAUGCUAAAAAAUCUGAAAUUUAUUUCCAAAUACUUUCAAUAGUGUAGAUCAAGUCUAACGGAACCGAUCGUUGAUUUGGAAGGCCGAUCAUCGAAAACAACUUGGUAGGGCGACGAGCGCUCCAUGCUACCGAUAGCAUAGUAGCCGGACUAUAUAUAUAUAUAUAUAUAUAUAUAUAUAUGGAGAGAGAGAGAGAGUUUGACUAUAAUACUAUCAAAAGCACAAAUCUUUAUAAUUAUAUAUAUAAUAUUUUAUUUUUAUAUAGAUAUUAUUAUGUAAUUUUGUAUUUAUAUUUAAUUAUGAUAAUUAAGAUUUUGUCAUUAGAUUUAGUUAAAAAAAAAAAAGGCAGAUAAUGAAAUGCUAACAUAAUGCUAACGCAAUACUGCGGUCACUGCAACUUUUCAUAUUCAUAUAUUGUUGUCACAUCAAAGUCACAAAGUAAAUUGGAAAUGAAGCGUGAGGUUACUCGCUUCACCAUACAUUAUCCACGUAUUAUAAGCUUAUUUCAGCAUAUGAAUUUUUUAAAUUCAUCAUUUUUUUUUAUUUACAGAUAUUUUAGAUCAUAUCUAAUUUAUACGAUUUUAAUCCCAACAUCUUUGUAUUUACAAUUUUAUUUGUGGUAUUCCUUUGAGAAAAAUUUCAAAUUAAUUCAACAAUCUACUUGACCAAAAUAAGGCUAGCGAUCCGGCCCACAACUUGCGAGCCAGCUCGUGCUAGGCGGGAAAUGAGCUCGAGGUCUGCCGCUCGUUCAAUACCCAAGCUGAAUACGAGCUAAAUUUUUCAGUUCGUAUUUUAAUGAGCCAUGUAGGAGUUGGAAAUCAGCUCACUUGUGUUUUGUGAAUUUCAGUUAUUAGACUAAGAUUCUACUUUUCUUUCAACUUUUCACCCAAUAGAAGAGCCGACUAUCUAACUUACUAUUCGCGAGCUAGCUUAUAUUCGUCUCGUUGACAUAUCAAAGAAUAGAGCACGAGCUAAAAUUUUUAGCUUGAUAUUUUAAUAGGUUAGCUCAUGUUCAGCUUACUGAAUAAAUAAGCGAACAUGAGCCGGCCUUAGCUCGCUCGUAUUCAGCUCGUUGACAGCUAUAGACCAAACCGAUCAAAACCUGUCAAAAAUAUUUUGAAACUGUAAGGAAUAAUUUCCAAAUAAAACCCCACAUUAGAUCAAGAGUUUUAAUGAACAAAUAAAGCUAAAAGUUCAGGAAAUAUUUAGUCUUAAUUGGAGGGUCGUAUCUCUUUAUAUAAUGCCUAUGUAUAUAUGAUGUAUUAGUGCCCUAGUGGAUCAUUAUUUUGAGAAAUAUAUAUUCCCCCCACAAAUAAAAUCCCCACAAUGUGGGCAAUUAAAAAUUGAGAUUAAUAAAUAAAGAGGACUCUUUCCACCCCUACAUAUCAUUAAUUUUGUUGCCAUAAUCAUACCAGCUAAGAGCUACUAAUAAGUAAAACUAAUUAAGUCUACUUGGAUGAACUAAUCUUAUACAUCAAUUGAGACUAAAUCUUAAAAAAAAAAAAAACAGUUAACUUCAUAAGAUUAGUAUAGAACAAGUCAAGUCCAUCGCUAAGCGAGCGAAAUAAUCCUAACCAUCAUAGCCAACAGAUUAAUUACAUCUUAUUCCUGAUUAGUAAAUCAUUAGUGCUCUACGAGUGCGCGAGUGCGCAUGUUUUAUGUGUGCUAUGUUCGUGUGUGUACGCGCUCGCGCAUUCGUAGUUGCAAUCUAGUUUAAGUUAACUUCAUCCUUAAACCAGUAGGUUUGUAGGUUUGUUGUAAAAGUUGGUUAAAGUUGGGUACUGUUUCAAGUUGUCUACAAUUCUGGGCAAGUUUUUCCAACAUCUUUGGUGGUAAAUCACAAGAGUUGUAUGACCAACCUUAACUACCUUAAAAGUGAUAUAUAAAGUGGUAAUGGUGACAAUAUGUCAAACCUUAAUGCCCAAGGAUAAAUUUGGUCUAAGCAUCUGCAUCUUUUGGUCAGGGGCUCUUCUCACCUACCAGCAAAUUGCAGAGUGGUUUGGAAUUGAUUCAGAGCAUUACUGCACUCGAAGAACAACGGAAUCGACAAGAAUAACGAAAACCUAAUACAUCAUUUGUGUGUUUUUUAUUAUGUCUUAACGAUUCUUCGAAGACAAGCAACAUAGGUAGUUUCGGAUAACUUUAUUGUUUCUGUAGCUUGUUAGCAGAGAAAUUAGUGUGUUUGCUCUUUCCCACCUAAUCCUUGUAUGUUUCUUUCUUUCUUUCUUUCUCUAGAUCCUUUAUUUUAUUUCAAGAUCCAGUAAAUCUCACUAUUCAUGUGCUUCCCCAAUCUCUCACCUACAGUGGCUUUGUCUUAGAUGUUUUGGAGCCCUAAAAAAAUGUUUCCCUCUUGGAUAGGAAGGUUUGAAAGGGAUUUUUUGCCUCAAUUGACAGUAAUAUUACUGUACUGACAAAUUAGUGUCAGCAUUUAAUUGUCUAAACAGAGUGGAUAAGUAAUCCCUAAUAAGGCUUAAUUAGGCUUCUGUAAUUAUUACUUCUGGGUGGUGCAAUUAGUUGUUUCUGUAAGCUCCAAUUCGCGAGUUUCUAGAACUCGGCAUCGGCCGGGCGAACUGGCACUUCAUGGACUACGUGAAUCACUCUAAAACUCUUCACUCCGCGCCACUACAAAUUUGUUGAACAUGCCCUAGAUCAUUGUGGAAUUUCAAGCAUUUCCUAAUGUUGUAUUUAUUUUCAUGCCUAAGAUUUGCUAUGCCGAGCACUAGGUUUGGUUGGUUUCAAUCUAUCUGAAAACCGACAGAUAUCGAAUGCUCAACCCUAGCAAUCCAGCAUGCAGCAUUCCUUACUUCCUUCUACUCUCUCUUCACGCAGAACGUUGCUAAUCGAUCAUAAUAACCCCUAAUGAUCCAGUAUGUUUAUUUUCAGCAAUGCAUAAUAUGUCUGUAACUCCAGAGAAUAAACAAUGCAUGCCAUUUACAAAGGUGUCUUCUGAACAUUAUCACACAACUGCCUUUGUUCUAGUCAUCUGUCUCCUUAACCAACUACAUAUACACAUCUUUAAUUCACAUUACUGGCAAUUUCACCAGAACUUUACUCAGAAUCCAAGCACCAGGUUGAUCUCCAGACAACAAAAAAAAACUACAAUUCCAACACCACCGUCCAGGACGAAAUAGUUUUAAAAUACGCUAGAAGUGACCGCAGAAGAGCAAUAAAUAGCUUCAAAUAGCGCAACUACUGGAAUUAUGUCUACAGAAGUUGCAUUUAUCAUAGCAUGGAUUCACCUUCCCAUCCUAAUGUCUGCUACAGAUGAAGUGGAAAUUGCACAAGCUAAUUUUUUGAGUUACCUUUUAUUGAUAUCUUUUGGACAACUAUCUAGUGUCUUCUAGUUUAUAGCCUACAACAGUUUCACCUGCUGACAGCACAAUUACUACUGGCCACUCUAGAAACUUGGGGAAACUCCCUACUUCACUCUCUAAGAACAAUAAUUCUUGAGACAUGUCCAUGCCACCACAAAAAACUGCAGGUGACACAAAACACUCCACCUACAAAAUGUGACAAAAUAUUUAGCCUUAUUUAGGGUUGAAAACAAAAACUAUCUACAACACUAAUCUAAGAGCAUAACUUACUUUACACACAACUGAUAUUUCUUUAAUUAGGCGGAAGAUGGCACACUAAAAUCAGAAUGAUUUAUUUCUACAUAAUGAUGUAGUGUUUUCCAAGGCAAUUUCAUUCAUUUCUUCAAGCAAAGGAUACGAAAUUGGAUCUAAUUUAACAGAUGAAGUGCAGUGCAGCACCGAAUUUUGAGAAACUGAAGCAAGCAUCAUAAUGGCAUAUCUUAUAACAGUGAAACCAACAAGAUUACAAAAAUUAGAGUCGUCAAGAAAAUGAGCUACAGAAACUGCAUAGACAUACAACAAAACAUAACUGUACAGACCUCAAUCAAACAGAGAUGCUUCGCAUCUCGUAAUGCAAACAGCUGCUGCGUCUUAAAUCUUAGUAGAAGAGCAAGAUGAACGUAAUGAACGACAAAAACAACAACAUAUCUAAAAACCAUUCAUCUCCAGCAGGUAAGUUCUUCUCUUCAUCAGCGCCUUCGCGGCGACCUUAAACGGACCAUCGAAUGCCCCCGAAACAAAGGCAUCAGUCUCCUUCCUACUAGUAUGGAUACUACCGCUGCAGCCCUCGGGAGAAGGCUUAAUCGCCACCAGGGUGGCCCCUUGCAAUCCCAUACCUUCUGGAAGAUCGAGAUAAGGCGCGUACCUCAACUUCAUGUUGGAGGCCGGAACUUGAGUUCUGUUGGAAGAGGCCGAAGCCGCCAAUUGGUUUUCUCUAAACUCCUUAAGUUGCUCAGCCCCCAUGAACAAUGUGCCUUGCCCGUCGGCGUCCGUGAGAACCAAGCUCAUCAGUGUCGGGUGGUCCUUAAUAAUCGGUCGGAGAAGAUAAUGCCUCGUGGAAGCAGCAAUUAGGGAACUGAUCGUCCACACGACUCGCAGUUUUAGCCCUCCGUUAGUGUAAAACGAUUCGGGUAUGCUUCCAUUGUCUUCCGACGAAGCUUCUUGCUCCGAGCUGCCUGAUUUAGGGCUUACUCGGGUUCCGCCCAAGAUCACGCAGUUUUGGAGCGUGCUCCCAAAUUCGGCCCUCCAUUUCAACAGAACUCCUUCCUCAGUCCCGACAUCUCCGGCAGGGAGCUCGAUUCGGAGGUUCCGGACAUGGGUGAAGUUCCUGAGCACUUGGGCGGGGGAAUGGUGGGAGAGCUGGGGGAAGAGGGGCUUGCUCCCCCCAUUGGGUCCGCGGAGGUGGUGGAACGGCUUUAGGAGUGUGAAAGCCAUCAGCUUUAAGAAGUGCGAGAAGAGGUUCCGGGGUUUCGGGGUGGAAGAGUUCAGGGCUUCGUCGGAAUCACCGUCGACGGUCACAACACGAUCGAUCUUUAUGUAGAUAUCGUGGACGAGAGGGGCGAGGACGUUGAACCGCUUCGAGACGGCCAAGCAGCGGCCGAGGGAGCGAACGUCCGCGAGCUUGUUGAGGAUGAGGAGGAUUAGAGAGUCGGGUAGGCGGUCGAAUUGGUCCAUUUCAAGAGAUGGAUCGGCGUGGAUUCGAGCUUUGGGGUGCAUUUUUUUUUAUUUUUUAUUUUUUUGAAGAAUCUAAGUAUUCCUCCUUUUCUCCUACAAUAAAUUCCUAGAUAGGAAUUUUUGAACUCAAAAUUGAACAACCAAGAACUAAAAAUUAAAAAUGGUGGCUAAUUUCCUAAAAACUCUUCCACUGAUCCAAUGAUCUGAGAAAACAAUCCAAGGAGAAGCAAUGCAUUAAUGGACCAAAUCUAAACAUAUUCCACUUGAAUUAGAUGAAAAGGUAAGAAAUUGAUGGAGUAAAUUGAUGAGAGAAAAAAAGAUACUUAAACCGAUCAUUCAUCACAAGAAGUAGUUGCAAGAAAAAUUAGGAUCUACAUACGAAAUAUAACACCAAAAAAAUAGGAAAAAUUUAUCCACAAAUGCAUACGAUUCCUCUAAAUGACGAACAUAAUCCUCAAAUCAAAAAAAUUAAUGAGCAAAAGAUCAGUAAAUUUUCACCAAAGUUACUAAAAUAAGCAACUUUUAGCUCAAAAAUUUAGCUGUAAUCAAAGUAAAACAAAACCUAGCUCAAAAUCGAAUUAAAAAUAUGAUUUACCUUUUACAGAUCUAGCACGGCAACUGAGGCACCUGAAUCAUAUAACCCUACCAAAAUCCAAACCAAGACGCUGCAAAAUCCGACCUUUCUCCACCUCCCGACCAGAUCAGAUCACUUCGAGCUCAAACCAGUAACAAAACCCUAAAUCCGGCCCCGAAAUCGGGCGAAAUUCGAGGGAAUCUCCACCGCCGAGCGACUCCACGCACGGGCGAUUCCAAGAGGGAGAAUCUGAUAGAGAGAUUGGGGGAUUUGAUGACGAAUUAGGGUUGCGGAUUUGGGGAUUUCUCUUCUCCUCUCUCUCUCUCUCUCUCUCUCUUGUUUAGAACGAAGUAAGAAGCAGCUCCUCCCCUCACGCGCUUUAUGCUGUUUACUAGUGAGCACGGAGGGAGAUAACGGAGCAAACGGCGCCGUUAAGUACACGUCAGCAUUCGGAGAUUUAGAUUCUUUGUAGAGAUAUUAUUGCGUGCGCCCGGUGUAUGAGCAUAUUUCACACACCGCCCUUUAAAAUUCUAGGGAUUGAACAAACUUCAAAUACCAACCUGUGGUUUCAUACUUUUUCACUUUAGUACAUAUAGUUUAAAGUGUAUUAAUUUAAUACCUAUGAUUUUGUACUUUUUUACUUUAGUACCCUAAAGUUUAAAGUGCAUCAAUUUAGUACCUUGUGGUUUUAUUUUGUUCUUUUCGUCGACUUCUGUUAAUAUUUUGUUAAAUUAUAUAGAAAAAACUUCAGAUACCCUAUCUAGGUUUAUUCGAAUAUUUAUUUUAGCACCCGUUAGUCUUAACUUUGUCACUGAGUUUUUUUUCCCUCCGUUAAUAUUUCGUUAAAUUAUAUACAAAAAACUUCCGAUACCCUACUUAGGUUUAUCGAAUAUUCACUUUAAUGCUCUUUAAUUUUAACUUUGUCACUGAUUUAAUGAAAAAAAUUAGUAAAAUAGAUAAUAAAAAGAGAAAAAUAAAACCGCAUGGUACUAACUUGAUACACUUUAAAUCACAGGGUACUAAAAUAAGAAAUACAAAACCAUAGGGACUAACUUGAUACACUUUAAGCCGCAGGAUACUAAAGUGAGAAAGUGUGAAACCACAGAGGGAUAUUUGAAGUUUAUCCAAAAUUCUAUCAUAGAAGCUUUAAAAUUAGAAUCUAAAUCAUUGGAUGUAUGUUUACUUCUACUUGGAGGGAUAAAUACGAGGCUUCUACAUAAUUAGCAGUAAAUAGAAGAGCAUUUAUGAAAUUAAUUCUAAAAUAAAGGCUAAAUAUUAAUUUGCUCCCUUGUGAUUUAGCAUAUUUUUUACUAUGUUAUCUUGUAGUUAAAAAAGUAUUAUCUAAUUGUUUUGUUAUUUUAUUUUUAUUUUACUAUAAAAAUAUAUCGUUAAAUAGGGUAGAUUUUUAAAAAAUUUUACUUUACGAUCACGUGGCUAAAAAUUUUUUCUUUGAACAAAAUAAAUAAAAUUAUAAAAUAAUUAAACAUAAUUUUUUGAACCACAAUAAAAAUAGGUUUAAACUACACGUACAGACAAAUUAAAAUUUACCCUAAAAUAAAAAUAGGUAACGCCGUUAGAUAGGUAACGGCGUGGGGGGUUAGGACAAGUGGCCAAUUGUUGUAUGGUGGAUGGAAAAUAAGUGUGAUAUUUUCUUUCUUACUCUGUAGUAAUAAUUAGGGUUAAUUUUAUACAAAUACCUACAAACAUAAUUUUCUACAAACAUAAUAAAUUGUAAAUAUUUUUCUAUGAAAUUCAAUUUUCAUAUAUUGUACUUUCGAAAAUUCUAAAUAUGUCUCUCUGGUUUUGUUACUGUUAAAAUACUGUUUAUUUUAUAAGUGAAAUGAUAUUUUUUACAAUCACAAUUAUAUCUCUCUAAAAAUCCUAACUGCUAUUCAAAGAGAGGUAAAAAGGUCAAUUCACCUCAUUAACCAACUAGAGUUAAGUCUUUAAUUUAUGGUUAAUUAAAUUUUUUUAACAAAUUUUAACGACAGAGAUAUAUUUUAAAAUAUUAGGACUUUGCAGGAACAUUAUAUAAAAAUUAAAAUUUAUUGAAAUAUAUUUGUAAUUUACUAUAUUUGCAGGAACCUUUAUGCAACUAACCCUAAUAAAUAUCACGGGUUUUUUUGUGGACAUGGGAAUUUGAGAAAAGAUGCGAGUAUAAAUUUUAAAACUCAAAAAAUGUAUCUUUAUACUUUGCCCUUAUUUCAAUUUUGUUGGCAAAUUUUAAUAGAAAGAUUUUUUUUCCUUUUUUUUUUAGAUUUGCUGCUUUAGAAUUUUAAAAUAAAAUUUUUGGAAAUUGUGAAAGAAAAAAAAAACAAAUUAUUUCAUUAUUGCAGCUUUAGAAUUAUAGAAUAAUUUCUUAUUUUAUUGACCAAAAAAAUAUACCGAAAGAAUUCACGUUGAAAUAAUUUUAUUUUUAGUUACUUAUUUUGAUGAAAACUUUUAACUACAUUGUAAGUAAUUGUGCGCAAUUUAGAUACAUAAUUUUUGGCAAAUAAUGUUUUAAUCUCUUAUGAAAAGCAAAAAAAUGAAUGAAUAUGACGAAGCCAAGAGUAGAGAGAGCUAGUGAAAGGAAUAUUUAUUUCUUUAGUAAUAAAAUAUUAUAAUUGCUUAUUAUGUAUUUUUAUCAAUUUUUUUUAAAAUUUUAUUGUGAAAAAUUAUUUACUAAUUUAUAGAAUAGAAAGUUUUCAGCUGUGUUAUCGACGUAGGAACUGUAUAGUAUCGAUAUUUUGUUAGCACGAUAUGACAUGAUGGAUACGACUCGUGCAGAUGAACACUUAAAUUCUUGAUCCAAACAUACGUGAUAUUUUUUUGGAAAAAAUAUCAUGAUAUGAAGUUCGUCUUAAGGAAAAUCUAAACUAAUUAGUUGUUUUCCACACGGAAUAUUUAGUUUAAAAUAUAUUUAUUUUUUAUUAUAAUAGGAAGUAGUAAAUCACGAAGAUUUGAUAAAAGAAGUUUGGUAGUGCCUUUUCAAAAAGCUCUCUAUUCAUGGGAUAUUUUCGUAACACCUCCCCUAGCUUUGAUCCAAACCCAACUAUGAAUCUAUAUCUAUAUCUAGACCUUUUUAUAAUGAGAUAAUAACUCACAACUUAAUAUUGCUUUUAUUUAAAAAAUUUUAAUGCUAUAAGUGCUUUUGUUUAGACUAUAUAUUUGUUAAUCAUCUAAAAGCCACAAAUAUAAAUUGUGACUUUAAGAGAAUAUUGAAGUAAUUAAUUGGACAUAAUUAAGGAGAAGCUUAAUUAGUACCCACAUUAAUGAUUAAUGAAAUCUAGUUAAAAAUAUUGGUCAACUUCCAUUUUAUGGUAGUUGGAGUUCUUGCUUUAGUAUUUACCUGUUUUGCAUUAAUGAAACAAAACAUAAAAGAAAGAUAAUGUUGAAUGAAAAAUGCUCCUCAUAUAUUCCGAUCGGGGUGUACAAAAUACACCCCACCAAUCUAAGUGCGUGAAAAUAUUCCUACCACCGACCAUUCUUAGCGCAAGCGACAAAAGAGUCGGUGGUUGGUAUUUGAGGUUCUUAAGUUCGAAUCCUAACUGAUUCAUAUUUUUAGCUAAGUUUAUUUCUAAAUGAAAUAAACGAAACGGAACGGGUGGCAUACUAACUAUUUCUCUCUCAAAAGAAAAAGAGAAAAUAUCCCCACCCAUAGAUGGGUGGGGGGUAAAUGGUACACCCUGAUAGGGGUGUAACACCGGCAUUGCUCAUGUUGAAUACAUAUAGUUACCUACACAUCAUUUCCUGUUUUUUUUUUAAUAAAGAAAUUUGUCCUUUUUAAGUAUCUGUUGGAACAAAAAAGAGGUUAGGGCAAGCUAUUUAGUCUAGCAAGUCACAUUAUUAAGACCUUUUUUUUUCUAAUUUUGAUCAAGAAGUUUUAGUUACAAAAGAGAGAGAGAGAGAGAGAGAGAGAGAGAGAGAGGCAAAUAAUGGAGUAAACGUGACGAAUUCUAUCAUAUAGGAUUCUUCCAAUAUCUCAAAUUGUUGUUGUAAUAGAUCAAAUUGUCAUAUUUUUUUCGCAAUGAACUAACAACAUUUCUAUACUCGUUACACCGAAACAAAACUUAAACUACAAAACUAGCAAGCAAAGUUAGAAGUUUACCUUUUUGAAUAUAUGGUAAAAUUGCAACAUCAGAACUUGAUGGUCUAUAGAAAUCUUUUUCAAGAAAACCAAAAGUGUUCUAAAAGAUAGUUAACUAAUAUUUACCCACUAGUGAUACUCAAUUAACAAGCAAAAGAGAUUGUGAAAUAGCAACAAUUAUUUUGCGAUUACUAGGGUAAUUUUCUAAAGAAGUCACCUUUUUUUUUAUUAUUAUAUCAUAUACCAUCUACACUACUUGUAGUUUUGAAGCACUUUCUAUUUAUAAGGAACAAACUAUCCACAUGUUUUUCCCCUUUUCUGUAUUUUGUUUGUGAGAUGUUUUGUUUUGUUUUUUAUUUAUUUAUUUAUUUUUUUUUUUGAGAGAAAGGUAGCAUACUACCUGCUUCGAUUAUUUCAUUUAAAAAUAAACUUAGCUAGAAAUGCGAAUCAACUAGGAUUUGAGUUUGGAUCUCGGGUACUAACCACGAAGCUCUUUUGUCAUUUGCGUUAAGAACGAUCAGUGUGAGAUGUUUUUUUGAAACAUGGUUAUGUAGUCUUCUAUUAGUAUUUAUGUUUUAUGGCCUUUUAUUGACUUAUAAAUAUUCAAAUUAAAUGGCAUCAUCAAACUCCCCAUAAAAGUUUGAAAUAAUUAAUUGUCAUGCAAUGUAGAUGAAAAUGACAUGAAGAAUCUUUAAGCAACCCUAUAUAUAUUUUAUAAAUAGUUGCCAUCUUAGACCCACCAUUUAUGUUUCCCCAACAAAUGUUUUGUUUACUUCAAAAUAUCAUGAUUUGAGGAUAAGACCAUCUAUCUAUCUAUCUAUCACACACACACAACACCUUAUCUAUAUCCAUUUAGAAUUUGUAAUAAAUAAUUAUCAUAAUAAUAAUGUUUCCACUAUUGGCUCUUGACCCCACUGAAUUUGGAGAGGUACAAUUCAUAGAUAGGCAGCUUGUAGCUUUCAAAAACAAUGUUGGGGGUUGCAACAAAAGGUUCCUUAUUAUUAGGAAUAAUGUUUCUUUUAGUAAAAAUUGUAUUGCUCAUCUUUAUACUUUUAAUUUAAGCACUUCAGUUUAUAAAUUUUUACAUAUGUUGCAGUUUUUUAAUUGUUAUUCGUAAAACGCAGCGGAAGUAUUCGCUCGUAUCUUUUAGCGAAAGCAACUUACGUAAGAACAUAAUGAGUCCGGAUCGUAGAAAUUGAUUCACGUGUUUUCGGAUUGUUCACGAAGGUUUUCUAUCGCUCCAAACUUGCGGUGGAUCGAACUACAAACGAGCACGAUCUCUAAUCCACCGUUCAAAAUCUUCUAAAAUAAUAGGUUAAUAGAGGAUGUGGUUUCUAUCUUUCUCUCUUGAUUUUUUUGUUGCAUUUCUUAUUUUAUCUUAUGUGAGAUUACCCGUAUAUUUAUCGGUUUAUAAUUAUUUUUUUUAGAGAUAUGUAGCAUGCUACUCGCUUCAUUUAUUUUAUUUAGAAAUUUAGAAAUAAACUUAGCUGGAAAUGUGAAUCAACUAGGAUUCUAAAUUGAGACCUCGGGUACCAACUACCAAGUCCUUUGCCACUUGCGUUAGGGAUCGCUGGUAAAUUGGUUCAUAGUUGUUAUCAUAAUAUGGUUAGAAUUUAUCUUUAAUUAGUUUUUCAAUUUUAAAAAAAAAUUAAUCAAAGUCCAAUUAGAUAAUAUAAUAAUCGUCGGAUCGAGCCCAAUUAUAGGCCCACCCGAUUCGAUUUAACCGAAUGCCAAUAUUAUCCUUAAUCUUUCUUAUGAAAUAACUAUUUUUACUCCAUCUGUAAAAUAAUUUAUUUAUUUCUCCUAUGUCAGCAGUUUUUAUCGGUCAUUCUUGUAGCGUGAAGAAACUACUGAAGGCACAGUUUGGAUAUCGGAAUAAAUUAUCAUUAUUAUAUUUGGAACGAAAACCUCUGAUAUAAUUCGAACCGAAGAUUCUGAUUUUUUAUUUCUUAAAAGGUCUUGCAAUUUAUGAUUUGUUACGGUAACAUAUUUUAUUUUACUAUGACAAGAAAAAACUUGAUAGUGAAAUAUGAUUUUUAUUAGCUCAGCGUUUAAUCACACUCCGCAUCUAUCAAAUAUUAUAAACAUUCCAGAUAUGUUUUUUUUUUUUUUUUUUUUGAGAGAGAUAGGUAGCACGCUACCCGCUUCGUUUAUUUUAUUUAGAAAUAAAUUUAGCUAGAAAUGUGAAUCAAUUAGGAUUCGAACUUGGGUCUCGGGUACCAGCCAUCAAAGCCUUUGCCACUUGCUCUAGGAACGGUCGGUAACAUUCCAGAUAUGUUAAAAAGAUAUAUAUAUACUAAUUAAAUAAGAUGGUCAUACAUUUUAAAUAAAAUCACAGCGAUGAACUGGUUAAAAAGUGGGGGACAACAUUCAUUAGCAUCACAUCCAAAAUUUGACCCACACUUAUUUUGGUUUAAUUCUAGCUCGAUCCAUAUGAUGCUACAGAUACAAAGUACUGGGGCCAAAUUACCCUAAUUUAUUUCCACAGUGGGUGUGGGUGUUACGAUGGAGUAAAUAUAAUAUAUGUCACAGUUUUCACCGCCAUCGGCUAUACUCAUACAAUGACACGAUCAGCUAACAACAAUAAUUCGUUGGACAUAAACCAGCCAAAAAAAUAUAUUUACGCCCAGUUAUUAUUACUAGCGUGUAGAUUUCAUAUAAACUGAUCGGAAUCAAUAUCCCAUCCGAUUUAGGAUUAUUCGGGGCGUUACAAACUCUCCUUGUUUAUAUCCAACGUUCUCGUUGGGUCCAAAUCAGAUCAUAGACAGACAGACCGGGACCAAAAUUAUCAGACGAUGCGAGAUUCUAGAGAGGACGUCGGGUUCAAAUCAGAUCAGAGAUAGAUAGACUAGGACCAGAAUUAUCAGACCCGCAUAGUACUUAGCUCUCACACUUCCGGCUGGUAUUCGGCUCUGAUGCCAAAUGCAACGAUCCGACCAGCUAGGAACAAUAACUUGUUGGGCCCAAACUACCGGCUCAAAAUACUUAAACUCAGUUAUUAUUAUUAACGUGUAGAUCUCAUAUAAAUUAAUCGGAAUCAACAUCCCAUCCGAUGUGGACUAUUGGAGGCGUUACAGAUACAAUGUUACCCCUUUCGUUAUUUUAUUUAAAAAUAAACUUAAUUAGAAACAUGAAUCAAUAGGAAUUCGAAUUUAGGAUACCAAAACUAAAUUUUUUAUCAGUUGUACUAGAAACAAUCGGUACAUAAAUCAAAAUUCAGAGAGUAAAAUAUACAAGUAAAAAAAGUACGUAGAUAGAACAGAGUCGAGUCAGAGAAUCGAGAUAGUACAGGAGUUGGCCAUACUUUUUACGCUUCUUAUUGUUUACGGCUUUGACAAUGUACACACAUAAAUAAAUAUAGAUGUAAUUAAUCCUAGUUUUUUUUUUUUUUUUUUAAAUUUUAAAGAAGCGUCGUACUAUACCGACAUGGAUCCAACCACUAUACAGAUCAGCAAAAUAGGAUCAGGACCACCAAAUUGUUUGCACAUGUUUUGAUCCCUCCUUUUAUUUAUUACCACUCGUUUGGUAUGAAUCACUGGUCCAAUCACCAUUAGAGCUCGGUUGUUUUUAUUCCAAUGGUUAAUUUAAAAAACGUGCGAAUCUAAUAAGUAUAUAUAUAUAUAUAUAUAUAUAUAUAUAUAUAUAUAUAUAUAUAUAUAUUUGAGUAAUUCGAUGUAGGAUUUACUUUUGGAUGUUGUGUGGUUAAGUUCAAAAUGUUUGGCUUAAUUAAUUUUGGUCCACAAAUUAUGAGUACGAUGGACUUUAGUUCGCCGUAAUUUUUGGUCCGUAUUUUUUAAACUUUUAUAAUUAAAUUAUUUUCUUUUUCUUGUUUUAACUAGAUGUUGAUUGUGCGCCCCAAUUUUGAGGAGGUUAUCUAUUUUAGAAGUACUCUAGAUAUAGCAUGCUUAAAUUUUUUAACCUUUUGAGUAUAGUUAUCGUCUAAAAUACUAUAGCCGGAUUAACUCUUUAGGCCCUGAUGUUCUCGUUGGAUUUAAAUAUACUCACCAUCAUCAAGCGAGGCGACUUAAACACAAGAAGCAAGCGAUGUGAGACUUGGCUCGCUAGUUUUAGCUGGUCUCCUAGGGAGCUGCGCUCCACCCACAACUGUCGUCAACUGGAGAGCGACGCUCAACAUGCACGUUGUAUGACUUUAGCUGAGCUGAGACUUAUUUCACAUUUCCGACCAGUGAUUGGCUCAGAUACUACUAGAACGUUUUAUUUUCCAAGAGGUCAUCCAUCGUAAAAUUACUAACUCUAGAAAGCUUAACUCUCUUAAUCUUUUUGGUCUAACUACCAUUCACAAUAUUAUAGUCGGAUUAAAAAAUUUAAUCCUAUUAUAUCUCAUAUAUAGGACUGUUUUAAAUCCUAAGAGUGUCACAUUGAUGAAUUAGUUACUUAUGUGUAAAUGAUGUAUCUACAUUAGUAAUUUAUCAAUAUUUGAUUAAAAUAAUUUGGAAAGUAUGAGCAAAAAAUUAUAAUGAAUUAAACUUGCAAAAUUAGGGUGUCACACUUCUCAUAGUUUGAGGAUAAAAAGCGUAAUUUAUCUUCUACCUUCUUUUUUUUUUUUCUUUUUUUUUUUUUUGCUUUUAACCUAUAUUUGGUGUGUUUGAUUUGUAUAGUUUGUGAAUUGAACUAAAUGUUAUAUUCUUUUAAUCAACAAUCUAUUAGGAGCGUUAUUUGCUCUGACACCAAUUACUGAAAUCAGUAUUUGUGCUGAUACCAAUUAUAAUCCAAAAUCUAAAAUAUGAAAAUAGAAUAAUAUGAAGAGGAAACAAUAGAGGAAGAAGAACUAAACUACAAGUAUUUUUAUUAAUCAAACCCAUCUAAUUACACCCUCAGGGGCAUUUUAAAUCCUAUUUUAAUUACACUUCAACUCUAAAUAAACGCAAAUCCAAUUAAACCAACUUCAAUAUAUAAAAAAUUGGUCUAAUCUAAAUUAUGGAUAAAUUUUAUCUUUUAUAAAAUUUUGAGUUAAACUCUAAUUAAGUUUGAAUUAUGAUUUCCAACAUGACCAUCAAUGUGUUGGUGCUUAAUUUGUUUUUGUUUGUAAGCUUGAUGCCACUUCAACAUAGUACUUAGUGGAGCUUUAAGAUUUGUGUUCUUUUGAUCUUUUUCCAGAUUCUUUGAGCCCUCCCCACCUUCAUAUAUAUCUUAUAACUGGAUCCAUGAAAUUAAAGGUAAAAGCAUAUGUCUAAGCCUAAGAUGCUUCAUUAAAAAAAAGCAAUAUAUAUAGCUCUACUGCUAUGGCACCAAAAACAAUUAUUUUGGGUAAAUUGCACACCUAGUACUAGUCCCUAAACUUAAAGUUUAGUUUGGUUUAAAAAUUUUUAACUUUGUUCUUUAUUGACAAUUGUUUGUGAAAAAAUGAUUAUAACAUGUACUUUGCGACAUCUACGUAUACAUUUGUGCAGCAUUUUCUCCGUCUAAAAUUUGAAUAUUUGAAUCAUUUAACCAUGAGAUGGAUAAAAAAUCGACAAAUUUGUGGUGGUGGACGAACAUAAAAAUAUAUUAGGUGUAUACAACGAUAAGAAUUAAAGUGAAACACCUUUCACAGUUUGUGAUUUUCAACAUUUAACUGAAAAAAAAAAUUGAGAUCCAAAACGAUACUUAACGAGAAGGUUGAUGAGGGGCUAGUAAUUCAAUUCAACUAUAAAUAUAUUAGUCUCAUAAAUAUUAAUUCUGAUUUCUCUUUUCUCGUCUUAUCUUUUUUUUUUUAUCUCCAUAUGCCGAAAACUUUAUCAUGUGACGAUCACGUGAAUGAUGUGGUAUCCCAAACCAAUUACAUCUGGCUUUAGAGUUUAUUCACCGCGUGCGUCGUGAUUUUUUAAAACAUAAUUUUGAUUAAAAAUAAUAGUUAAAAAAGGAAAAGAAAACAUCCAUAAUUUGGCUCAAUCAAAUCAUCCUUAAUUGCACCAUUUAUUCUUGUGGUGGUCCUCAAACCAACAGAAAUGCAUCUGUGCUUGGGGAGCAUGUGAAGCUACAAUGGGUGGUAGUAAUUGUACAAAUCCCUCUCUCUCUCUCUCUCUCUAGAGCUCUCUCUCUCUCUCUCUCUCUCUCUCUCUCUCUCUCUCUCCUUUUUUUUUUUUUUUUUUUUUAGUUGAGCAAAUCACAUGAGAGAAUGGAGAUUGGCUCAAAUAUUGAGGAGGAGGCAUUUUCAGAGUACAGCUUAUUUUAUUAUUUUUUGGUGUGGGUUUCAUGUGAUGGUUCCCAUGCUUUUAAAGGCAUAAAUUAAAUUCCUAAUGAUAGGGAUUACAAUUUUGGGGAGGAAGGGGAAUUAAUUCUUUCUUUUUUAAAAAAAAAAUUAAAAAAGAGAUGAAAAGUUCAUUUAGUUGUUAUAUAUCUAUCUUAAAUUAAGUCCAUAUUUUUUAAAAAUAACUUAUUGUUAAUAAGCAAGAGGGGAAGAUCUUUUUUGUACAUCGUAAUAGUGUUAAAUACCGAUGUAUCAUUCCAAAGUUUUAGAAAUAAAUUAUAUAUUCUUCUAAAUUUUAAAUGAAUAUGUAUAUCAAUAUAAACUUGUAAUACUUUAUGAAAAUAUUCUUAAAAUUAUAAAUUUUAUUUUCUAUUUCUUCAUUUUAGCUUCCAAUCUGAUUCAUUAAAGAAAAUGACAUAAAUCGAGAGGAGUAUCUCCUACCAAAUUAUAUUUUUUGUUUCUUUAUGUUUAAUUCCAAAUUACUCUAGAUCGAGAAAAGAAUCUUCUGUGGUAACGUAGCUUAAUUCUUCGUUAUAAUAGAAGUUAUGAUCAUGCAACAAAUGCUAAAUCUAUAAGAAAGCAAUCGACUUAUUCGAAAAGAAAAUAAAACUUAUUUAGUAGGUGAAAAAACUAAAUCUAUAAGAAACUAAUUGACUUAUUUGAAAAGAAAAUAAAACUUAUUUAGUAGGUGAAAAAAAAAAAAAAGAGAGAGAGAGAAGAGGGGAAACUAAAGAAAAUAAAAUAAAAAUUGACAAAAAUUUAGUUGGAAGGGUGUUUUCAUAAUGUAUUACAAGUUUAGAGAGAGACGCAGAUUAAUUUAAACUAUGGAGGAAUAUAAAAUUAUUUUUAAACUUCAGAAGAAUACGCUAGUAUUUAAUCCUUUGUAAUAAGUACCACAAAUAAAAGUAAUAAAUUUAAUCAAACGUUUCCAUCGUGUUAAAAGAAAAAAAAAAUUGAGUUUAAAGUUUUUUCAAAUAUUAUUUUAAAUUAAAUUUAUCAUAGGAGAUGAAAAGACCCACUAGCAAUAAUAAUUCAUCGAGUUCAAACUAUCGGCCCAAAAUACUUAAGCCCAAUUAUUAUUAAUAGGGUGCGAGACCUCAUAUAUUUUAAUCAGAAUUAUUUUAUCAUCCGAUGUGGGACUAUUAAGCCGUUACAAACUCUUCCCAUUUAGACUCUGACGUCGUCGUCAGGUCCAAAUCCAGAUCACAGACAUACAGAUUAGAAUUACUAUGACUGCUACCGGUUCAAGAGGUGGCUCCCACCAAAUCCGUUAGUGUAGCACUUUGCCUCAUUUAGCACUUAGCUCUCACACUUUCAGCUGGUAUUGUUUCUGAUACCAAUUGUAACAAUCCGACCCGCUAGAAAUAAUAACUCGUUGAGCCUAAACCACCCGCCCAAAAUGCUUAAGCUAGUUAGUAUUACUAGGUUGUGAGACUUUAAUCAGAAUCAUUUUUUCAUCCGAUAUAAGGACUAUUGGGGAGUUACAUUUAUAAUAACGAUGAUGCAUCAAUAUUUAGUCAACUGUUCGAAUUCGGAGCGUUGACCAAACCUAAUUUAGUUUUAGUUUGGUCUCAAAGAGUAAUGCUAUAGAGCCCUAAUUCACAAAGCCAUUUGAUUAGGAGCUCAUAAAUUGGCUUUUGGAGGUGCACUUAAAUCUAAUAUUCCGAAUUCGGAGCAAUUUUCAUAUCAAAAUCUUUGGCAUAACUUUGCAGCUCCUUUUCAAAAUUUUCACUACAUGCAUAAAAUGUUGCCACCAAUUCAAAUACACUUGAAAUUUAUUUCCUUUGCGUUGAUACGUAUAGCUUGAUAAUUAAGUACUCUGUAAUAUGACCCUCUAAACGGGUCGGGCCGGUCAAUUGGGCUAAUGGGCCAUCGAUCCGUUACUGUUGUUAUUGAAGUGGAUUGGAUCAAGUGGGUCUUGUUUAAACCCUAACUUGGCUUGAUCCAAAUUACUAUUUGCAAAAUAUAAUCCCGCAUUAUGUUAAGCGUAUUCAACAAUAUGGAGCGGGAAAAUUUUUCACAUUUGAUUUGCGAAAAUCUUAGCAUGUUUGAUUCAAAAUCAUUAAAUAACUUUUUAGAAAGAUGGCAUGUAUGAAUCAAUGUCAAUGUGUUAUAGAGAUAAAGAAUUUAGAUAAGAUCUUUGGGUCGAAAUAUGCUAGACGCUGUCCUAAAAAUAAGAUUGUAGCCGACGAUCACUUGUAGCGAUACAGCAACCACGAGCCAUUUUAUCGGCAUGUCUCCAAGAUAGCACAAUGUGAACCGGAAAAUUGAGCUCUCAAAGAUGCAGCAAAUGGAGCAAAGUUCAGAAGAAUAGUAAAGCUCAGUAAGGAGCCACAGCAGGCAGCCAAUAAGGGCCAAGAUGUCAAAGGCUAGUUGAUCACAGAUAUAGCCAUUCUUAGGUUAAGUUAAAAUGUAAUAAACCCCUCAAUAGAGAAGUAAAAUUCAGUGAAGGAUAGUGUAAAGCUCAGAAAAGUAUUCUGAAGAAAGUAAUUCACAUCCCUACUGUCCUUUAUCCCUACAACUGAUGAGUUUUCAUCUAGAAUUAAAAUUAAUCGUGUGCACUGUGCAGCAGAUGAUGCAAAAGCUUUCAGACAAAACCAAUUUGAUUUUGGACCACCGAAAGGCCCGUAGGCCAAAAUAAAAGUUUUAGAUUAUAUUUAAAUAAAUAAUAAUAGCAUCAAAACAAACAGCGAGAAAUUGAGUCGAGGAUCACUUCACCCUCAAUAUCUUUUUUGAUAUUAAUAUUUAGCAAAGAACUUUCACUUUUAAAGCCAUAGACUUUUCUGUUGAACUAGCAAUAGUGAAUAAGUGAUUUUCUCGGAAAACUUGGCUCUCUUGACCAAAAUUACAACUCAACUUAAUUGAUCUUAAGUUACGCUCGAAUAAACACGCUUUCAUCAAAAAUUAACAUUCAAAUAUCUAAUGCCAAGGUGUAAAAAAUUAACAUUCAUAAUAUGCUUAGCAUAAAUACUCGGAUUGUUUUGAAAAACAAACAUUUUAUUCCAAGUAAAACUCAUUGGAACAUCAAUAUGCAAUUCAUGUUUAUAUAUAUAUAUAUAUAUAUAUCCCCUAAAGCUGUUACAUGCAAAUAAUUGUAUAAUCAUUGUUUUUUUUUAUUUUUUUAAAUGUACAUGCUCAACGACUAUUAUAAUUUGUCCAAUAGAUUCGAUAGAACCGCCCAAAAAUGAUGAUGAUGUACAUAAUAACAAUGAUAAUAAUAAUAUUAAUUAGCGCCCGUUAACGGCGAGGCAACGGAGUCCGCAAUAGAAGAAAAACGGCCGUCAAAGCCGCAGUUUAACGUGGCACGCCUGGGAAAUGAUCGUCGCGUUCGCCGUUAACUCGUCGACCGUCACGUCGCACCGCACCUUAACGGUCCACGUCCACGUCGUAACGGCGCCGACCUUGGCCCGGACGGGCAGCCGCGCGUCGACCGUCAGCGGCACCGCGCCGUUACGCUGCGCCGUCACCAUCGACGCGCGCGUCGAGGGCGAGAGGCGGAUCCCGGAUCCCGCCAACGGCGUCACGAACUCCGUCACGUUGUCGCGGCCCUGGAAGAACGCGGGCCAGGCGCCGUUGGCGAGGGCGACGGCGCCGUAGGAGGCGGCGACGGAGCCCCCGGGGAGGUAGCGGAGCCCGAUCUUCGAGUUAGGGUUCCGGGCGCGAAUGGCGGCGGCGAGAUCGGGGGAGAUCGGGGAGGAGGAGGAGGAGGAGGAGGGGGCGAGGCCGUUGAUGGCGAGGGAGGCGAGGGAGAAGGAGGGGAGCUUGGGGCGGAGGGCGAAGUAGAGGGCGGCAGCGGCGGCGGCGAGGGCGAGGGCGAGGGCGGCGGCGGCGGCGAGGAGGANCGGGUGUAGGCGGCGAGCUUGGAGGCGUUCUCCGGCGGGGGGACGCGGAAGACCUGGUCCUUGGGGAUCUGGAUGAGGUACGUCCCCGGCGGGGGCUUCGGCUUCUCCGCGAAGCUUGGGAGGUACUCGGCCCGAUCCGUCUCCGUCUCCGUCUCCGGCUCCGGCUCCCGCUCCGGCUCCGGCUUCGGCUUCUCGGGGAAGCUGUUGAGGUGGUCGUCGGGGUGGACGCGAUCCGCCAUGGACGGGAUCGAUCGAAGGUGCGAUUCUUAAUUUCUCCUUAUUCUUAUACUUAAAAUUUUUGAGGUUAUUCGUGGUGGAUGAUAAUAAUCUAAAUAGAUGGGAUUUUGAGGUUUUAGAAGGGAUAUAUAUAAUACAAAAGGGAACGGGGAAGAGAGCGCGUUUAAGGAGUAGUAGUUGUUCGCCUGGAGAGUAUAGUAGGAAUGGAGAGAAACGGUCAUAUUCUGCUUCGAAUUUAAUUAUUAUUUAUUAUUUAUUUAUUUAUUAUUAGAUUUAAACAGUGGUAUCGCGGACGCUUCGAAAACGACACGCGAAACACAUUCAGACAAUGAUCGAGCAAUUAAUUCCCUUUCGCAAAAGAAAUUUUUGAAAAUUGGGUGUAAACCAUUUUCUUUUUUUCUUUUUUUCUUUUUUUUCUCAAAAAAAAAACCAAUAUAAAUAAAAAGUUAAUAAAACUAAUGUAUUUUACGAUGAUAAAUCAUCGUAUAAUUUAUUAAAAAAAAAUAUACUUCAAAUAUCAUUCAUAUAAUUUUAUACUUUUUUACUUAAGUAAUCUGUAUAUAGUUUAAAGUAUAUCAAUUUAGUACUCUAUGGUUUUCUUUUAUAUUUUCAUCAGCUUCUCCGUUAAUAUUUUAUUAAACUAUAUACAAAAACUUUAGAUACCUCAUCUAAAUUUAUCGAAUAUUCACUUUAGUAUUCUUUUCUUUUAACUUUGUCAUUUAUUUAACGAAAAAAAAUUAAUGAAGGCAAUAAUAAAAAGAGAAAAAUAAAAUUACAGGGUAUUAAAUUAAUAAACAUUACACCAUAUGGUACUAGAAUAAAAAAAGUGCAAAACCAUAGGAAUGGUAUUUAAAAUUUUCCCUCUAAAAAGUUAUAUUUAACUAUUUUAUAAUUUAGCGCGAUUUUACUUUUUCAUUUCAUAGUUCAAAAAAUUAUAGUUAACUGCUAUGUGGUUUUAUUUUAUUAUUAGUAAAGCUUGUAGUUAAAUAGGAUAUUUCUUUGUAGUUUUCUAAAAAAAUUUACUUUGCUAUAUAUUAUCCUAUUUGCCUAUUGAUUUUUUCAGUAAAAUAAAAAAUAAAGUUAUAUGAUAGUUAAAUACAAACUUUUGAACCCUCAGUUAGAAAAGUGAAAAUAUUAUUUGUACACCAAUAUAAAUAGGUUUAAUUUCAUACAGGUUCUUACAAACAUGAUGAAUUGUAAAUAUAUUUCUACAAAGUUCAACUUUCAUAUGUUGCCCUUACAAAAAUCCUAAUAUUUUCAAAUAAGUUCAUCUGGGUUGUUAUCGUUAAGGUACUGUUUAUUUUAUAAAUGAAACGACCUUUUUGACAUCACAAAUAUGUUCCCAACUGUUAAUUGAAGAGGGGUGAAAGGUCAAUUCACUUCAUUAACUAAUUAGAGUUAAGUAUUUUACCUAUGAUUAACGAGUUUUUUCUAACGGAUCCAAAUGGCAGGAAUAUAUUUGAAAAUAUCCGAAUUUUUACAGAAACAAUAUUUGAAAGCUGAACUUUAUAGAAAUAUAUUUGUAAUUCACUAUAUUUACAGAGAUAUGUAUAAAAUUAACCCAUAUAAAUAUUGGGUAAACUUCAAGGUGUGAACACUACAAUGGAUCGAUUCCAAAGAAAAGUAAUGUUGUGUUUAUUUAUAUAUUUUGUAUUUAUUUGUUGAGAAAACCAUUUGGCAAAAUUUACAAGUAUAAGAAUGUAGUUCAACCAAGAAAAAUACUAUAAAACUUUUCUUCUUUUUUUUUUUUUUUUUUUUUUUUUUUUUUUUUUUUUUUUUUUUUUUUUUUUUUUUUUUUUUUUUUUUUUUUUUUUUUUUUUUUUUUUUUUUUUUUUCUUACUUUCUGGUAAUGCUGUAGUUAAUUGUAGGUUGCUGACAUAAUUUCAAUAUAACUCAAAGAGCUUUUAUUGGUUCAUUAUUGAAGCAGUGGAAAGUGUAAUGAAAUUUGCCAAAAUAUAGAGAUUUAAUAAAUAAUCAAUUGUGGAAAUUCAAAGCAUUUGUAUUAAGUAAUAUAUAUUAUAACAAUAAAGAACUCAAUUGGGAGUAAAUUUUAUGACAAUUUAUAAACACGCAUGCAUGCACAAAUUUUGUUGGCAAUAAGGUAUGAUUCACGCAAAGGGACAUACAUGACUUGUUGUAUAUAAUAUUACAUAAUGCAUGUUAAAAUGCUAAAAAUCUAAGUAUUUUUAGAGUAAUCAAUUGUUUCGUAUGAUAUCUGAGCAGGUCUACUAAAGUACCUAAGUUUAGUUUUAGCCGUAGUAAAACAUUCAAUAUUUUUGUUUAUUAAGUAUCUUAUUAGAGAUAAUGCAUGUAAAAUGAGAAAAGAUUGUAUAUAUGCAACACUUUGUACAUAUGCACUUGUAGUAAUCACAAACUGUGGACAAAAUAGUAAGGAGGCUCCUAAACGAGUCUAUGGUUCGUGAUGAUUCGUAUUUUUGUGGGUUUGGACUCGGUAUAACUUCGUGCACAAGAUUCGCUAUACACGGGCUUGAUCUCGCCCCUGAAUUUUAGCGGGAUUAAUUCACAUAGUCUAUAUUGGACGAUGCGGAUUAAUUAUGCUAAAAAUCAACGACUAUAUAUGAACCCACUAGGGGUGGCAAUCCAGCUCGUUGUUUGCGAGCCAGCUUGUGUUCGGCUCGAAAUGAGCUCGAGAUCGGCUUGCUCGUUUAGUAAACGAGCCAAACACAAGCUGGAUUUUUCAGCUCAUUUAAUAAACGAGUCGAACACGAGCUGGGGUCAGCUCGCUCGUGUUCGGCUCGAUAACAGCUCGAAUACAUAUAUUUUAUAUUUAUAUAAUUUAUUUAAUUUAUAUUUUAUAUAUAAAUAAAUAAUUAUAUAUAAUAUAUAUUUUUAUUAUUUAAAUUUUAGCAAAAUAAAAAUAUAAAUGCGAGCUUAAUUAUAAAAAGACUCAUUUAUAUGUAAAGUUUCAACUAUUAGAUCAAGUUUAUAGAUAAGAUUUUAUAAUUUAUUUUUAAUAUAUAUUUAAUCUAAUCUUUUUUAAUUUAUUAUUCGUUGGCAGCUCGUGAGCCAGCUUGUUUCGGCUCGUUAAUAAACGAGCCGAACACAAGCUGAAUUUUUCGGCUCUAUACUUUAACGAGCCAGCUCGUGUUCGCUCGUUUAAUAAACGAGCCGAACACGAGCCGACUCCAGCUCGCUCGUGUUCGGCUCGUUUACACCCAUAGAACCCACUGCAUAAAAAUUUUUUCACAUGAGAUUAUAGAAAAUUUGUUUUCUAUUUCUGCAAUUCUAUGAAUAUUGACCAUAUAUAUAUUAGUAGAUCUACCUGAUAUAUUAUCAUAUAAAAUAAAUAUAAUUUUGGGUUAAGUUUAAUUUUCUUUUAUGUGAUUUGGUCAUAUUUUUAUUUUGUCAUUCAGUGGCUUACAAGAAAUUAUACCUUUUAGUUUUAUUUUUAUUUUAUCGUCAGAAUUUAUUGUAAAAAUUACAAUAUAGUAUGUAACCAUUUUACAAACUUUAGGUAGUACUGGUAUUAUUUUUCUCUCCGGUUUACCAAUAGGUCUUUACGGUAAAAUAAAAAUAAAAUUAAUUAUUAAAUAAAUAAGUAUAAAUUUUUAACCACAAAAUAAUAAAGGAAAAUUAUGAUAAAUUAAAGAGGAACAAAUAUUCAAAGUAGUAAUAUUACAUGUACAUCUAAAUCUUACGCCCUAAUAUUAAUUUACUAUUCGGUUUACCGUCCCGUCUGCAUAGUAAAAUAAAAAAAAAAUUAUUAAAUUGUUAAGUAUAAACUUUUGAACCAUAAGAUAAUAAAUUUAAAUUGCACUAAAUUACAAAGAGAGACAAAUACAUAUAACAUCUCUUACAUCGAUCCUAACGUCUCAAAAGAUUAGAUUUACUCACUUGUUACAUCAAAAUUCUUUCCAACAUUAUUUAUAAAGUAUACAGAUUAUAUUUUUUAGCUAGAAAUAUAAAGUAAUUAUACUGUAAACUUAAACUCAGAUAUAAACCAUCAAAUUCUUAUACAUCAUAUAUAUAUAUAUAUUUUGUUAUGCAAAUAUAUAUUAAAGGAAAAUGAAAUUUAUCCGCGUAAGCACACUGAAUAAGCAAGCAAGUUCUAACACGGGGGCGUGUUUUUGUAGAACAGUGGAGUGGCAAACAACUGGCUACAGAUAAAUUGAUGAUGAUAAUAAUAAUAAUAAUAAGUUUAUUAAAAAUGUGUUUAAAUGAGCAGGAUUUUGCCCUGUGUUCACACGUGGAUGUUCACGAAACACCAUGCAAUUUUUUUUAGACCUUUAUUAUAUUUUAUUUAUUAUUAUUUUAUUUUGUGAUUAAUAAUUACUAUUAGUGUCAGGUUGGUGCUGGCUGGGGAUGAAUGUGUCUGGGUUUGCCCAAGCAGGGCAGGUGCAUGGGCCGCCGGCUUUCUCUUUUUAGGGGUGGAAACCUGCUGGCUUAUGUAAACUAUAAAUAAAUUAUUGAAAGUUGGCUAUUUAAUUUUUAAAAAAUUUAAUUUUAUUAAUAAAUUUUAUACAAAAAAUUAUUUAUAUACUCUUCAAAAUUUUUGAAAUAUUUUUAUAUAUUUACUUUUUUUUUUUGUUUCAAAUGUAACUUUUAUAUACUUUUUCGUUAUUAAAAAAUAAUUUCACUGUAAUUACUUGUUAAGGCUUCGUUUGAGAUUGCGGAGAGAUUACAUUACGUGCGAUAAGAAAGUACAAUGAAAAAAUACUCUAUUUUGUAUUCGUAUGUAAUAUUGCGUUCCGCAUAUCGCGAUUAGUCGGUUACGAUAUAUUUUCUACAGUCUUACCGGAGAACGCAGAAGCAUAUCCCUAUAUGUUUUUACCCUAACUCCAUUGUAUGUAACAGCGUCAGAUGAGACUCAAUACCAAACUAAGCUUGAGUUAUUUCAGAUUAAAUCCGUGUUAAAUUUUUACCUGCAGAGAUAAAGAAAAACAAGUCAAAAUAUCUCUUUUGUCCUUAACUUAAGAGCAAAUAAGAAAAGUUUGUAACGAUAUAAAGGUAUAUUUGAAAAGAUAAAAGUCAAAAUAUUUUUUUUGUCUCUAAUUUAAUAUCAAAUAAAAAAAAUUGAUGACAAUAGAAGGAUAUAUUAGAAAAGACAAAAUAGUAAUUUUAUCUCUUACGGAUGUUCUAAGAAUUUAGCUCUAAUGAUAUAUUUGAAAGAAUUUCUAACGUUAAAAUGAUAAUUUUUAGAUUAGCCUUUUAAGUGGGGUGAAUAAAAAAAUCUAAAAUCUUUCAGUGGGAAAUAAGCAAUUACCCCAAUUUUACAAUAUGUUUGAUUUGAAUUAGUCCACAAUAUUUUGAUUAACUCAAAAGUAGAGAGAGAGUGGAAAGAGAAAUUGAGUAAAGAGAGAAUAAUAUGUAGAAGAUUAAUUGUGAGAGGGCUAAGAGGGAAAGUCCCAAAGAUGAAGUGAAUUAAGGGAAAGUAAUUAAGGUGAGUGAAAUAAUUUUUUUCAUUUUAAUAUAUUUUUUAUGUUAUUUUAUUUUAUUGUUUUUUACAUUAGUUUUUUCUUUUAAAAAAUUUAUUAAUAAAUUUGUAUUGGUGGAGAUUAAAGGAAAGUGCAUCUUCCUUAAAAUUUUACCUCCCAUAUCAAAUAUAAUUAAUAGGGGAAAAAUUACAUAAAUAAUAUUUUAUCUUUUUUUUUUUUUUGGACCUUGUAGCUAGGGGUGGAAACGAGCCGAGCUCGAGCGAGCUUAUGUCAGCUCAAAUUCGGCUUGAAAUUAAUUUCGAGCCUAAAUCUAGGCUCAAGCUCGGCUUGAAAUUAAUUCGAGCCGAGCUCGAGCGAGCCUAAUUUCGAGUCGAGCGCAGCUCGAGCUCUAAACGAGCCGAUUGAAAUUCUUGACAUUAUAUAAUCAAUAGUUUAAUUUUUAUAGAACAUUACCUACAAUUUGAUGCAACAUGUCCAAUAGUUCAAAAUACAAAUAAUUAUAAGAAAUGUGAGCUAGGGUGACUUCCUGACUAGAUGAGGGUCUGAGAAGAGAGAGAGAGAGAGAGGAAAAAAAGUAGGAUUUAGAAAUUUGAAUGUUAUCAUGUUUUAGGGUUAUGUGCAACAGUAAAGUCUGAAAGAGAGAGUGUGUUAUGUAAAUUUAGAGUUGGGCUCAAUUGUACGAUUGUACUUGUUGGGUUUAUUUUAUGGGCCAACAAUAAUGGCCCAAAUUAAAUUAAAGCCUAUAUAUAAUUAAAAUGCAUUAUAUUUAUAAAUAUCAUCCCCAUGUUGCUAUCACGUUUUUAGCCAUUAGAUCUACUUUUUGAUUACAAAUAGUCCUUGGAUCAAACACUUUUCCACCUACACCACCUACUACUACCAUCAUCUCAACCUCACAUCUCUCCAUCCAAGGGCUAAAAACACACAAGUAUCACUUGGGUGAUACUUGUAAAAGUAUUCUAGCCUUACUAUAAUAUAUAUAUAUAUAUAUAUAUAUAUAUAUAUAUAUAGUCCAGCUGCUAUACUUUUAUGAGUAUUGGCUCCUUUAUACUCAUAAGUUUUCGACCCUUAGAUUUAUUCCAUUAAUCAUUUUUAUCCAUUAGAUCAUACUAUUUAACCAACUACCCACUCAACCCUAGGAGACCACUAUCAUUCUAAAUGGGGACCACCAUCAUCCUAACCACACAUUCCAUCAAUCAACGGUUAAAAAUUUAUGAGUACAAGGGGGUCUAUACUCAUAACAGUAUAAUAACCCCAGCCUAUAUAUAUAUAUAUAUAUAUUCUCGAGCUUUUCGAGCUUUUCGAGCCUAAUUCGAACGAGCCGAGUAAUACUCAAGCUCGGCUUGAAAUGAAUUUCGAGUCUUUUAUUUUGUUCAAGCUCGGCUCAUUUAAUUUCGAGUCGAGCUCGAGCGAGCCGAAUAUCGAGCCGAACACGAGUCGAACACGAGCCGGCUCGCUCGUUUGCCAGCCCUACUUGUAGCAAACGUGUAGAGAUCGACUCUCUCCUAAUUAAUUAGGAUGUAGUACAUUUACAUAUCUGAGACGUCGCCAUCUUUGCAUGCAUUUUCAACACGUAACAAAUUAAACUUUAUUACGCGUGUUUUGACUUAACCAUAUUUGUCCCUCAACUUUUAUCUAAUUUUUUUAUAACUUCACUUAUCAAAAAUUGCUUGUCAGUUCCAAUUAAUAACUUUUUUUUUGGUUAAAGUAAUAUUCAUAUUACACAUAACUAAUUAAGGUAUAUAAACACGUUCAAACAUUAUUUGUUUAUGACCUGACAAUUUCCAUCUCAUUAUAAAAGAAAUUUUGAAGAAGAGUAUUAUUAUCACUCAUGUUUUUUUUAAGAUUUAACACUAGAAAUUUGCGUAAACCUUAGGGUAAGGUUUAAAUUCUUGCGCGCGGAAUUAUAAUUCUAAAAUGCAAUUUGGAUUAAGGCUCAGUAGUUCUCUCUAAAAAAAUCGUUAUGUACUAGAAAAUAAAAUUAUAGACUUUGAAAGAACAGAAAUCAAAAUAAAUAAAUGAGCAACGCUAAUUGUACGCCUUUCAUUUGAAAAUGAGCUGCGCUACUUGUACAGCACAAUUAAAGUUAAUAUAUAUAAGAGAGCCAUGAUAUAGAUUUAGAAUUUAAGCCACCGUUUGGUUCGGGGUUAAGUAAAAACUUGUUAUUUCAGGGAUGGAGUUAAGUUCAGGUUAAGAUAGGGUUAGAGUAAUUUUGUAUUUGGUUGAGAAUUGAGUUUAGUUCAGAUAUAGGUAAAAUAGUGUUUGGUUGGAGUAGGUGCGAUAAUAAGGAUAGUGAGUAAAAUAGUGUUUUGUUUGGUUGGAGUAGUGAGGUGGGAUGGGAUUAGCUAACCCCACCUCCCAAAUUGGGUGUUUAGAAAUAACUUCAGAGUUAAGAGGUUAUUCCACCUCUUAACCCAGAACCAAACGGGUGCUUAGUGUUUAGAAUUUAGAAUCGCGUCUCUCUCGCGCAUAAUAAAUCUUUACCUAUCAAAAUAGUUCAAGAAGUCGCUGAAAGAGACUAACUUGACAUGGUCAAGUGUCAUGUGCUAUUAAAUAUGUGUAAUUAAUGCAUUAUUAGUCAAUUGUUAUUAGUAAGGGAUAAUUAAUUAUACACCCCUCAAAACUGCUGAUUUUUUUUUUUGAAAUAUAACGCUCGUAUUUUUUUUUCGUUAUUUAAAAAUAACCCCGCUGUUAGUACUGUUAAGUAAUUUCAGGGUUAAAUCUGGAUCAAAUUUCUACCAAAGUUAAAAAGAAGUUAAAAUAUCUUAUUUGUCCCUAACUUAAGAAUAAAAAGAAAAAUUAAUGACAGUAAAAGAGUAUAUUUGAAAAGAUAAAAGGUUAAAAUAUCUCUUUUGUCUCUGACUUAAGAGCAAAUAAGAGAAGUUGUUAAUGAUAGAAGGAUAUAUUUGAAAGGACAAAAUAGCAAUUUUAUAGAGAUAACGACUGUUCCUAAUAGUUCACUAAUAUAAUUUAACUCUAGCAGUAUAUUUGAAAGAACUUGAAUUGUUAAAAGGGUACUUUCAAUAUUAGCCUUCUACGUAGAAUAAAUAAAAAAAAUUUGAAAAUUUUAAGCAAUAUAUAAGCAAUUGCCGUUAUUAGUAAUUACCUAAUGAAAUUUUAAUCAGAUGGUAUGUUAAAGGUACUGCUUCUUAAAUGGUUAAACCAUAUUAAUUAUGUUUAAUAGUAUCCAUCGUAAAUUUAGAUAUUUUAAGUCGUAAAAUAGAGUGCAACUAAAAUGUUCUCUUUUUUUUUUUUUUUAGGCCCAGUUUUUGCAUGGAAAAUGAUGGGGAAGUGGUUGAGACCAAAUUUUAGGUAACUUGUAUGAAUUUUAAAAGUGUUAGGCGAAAAGCAUGGUACUUAAUUAGCUGAAUUAUGACUCAUUUUGAUUGGCCUGUUUUAUAAUCGUCAAAAUUUUAGUAAUAUUAUAUAAAUUUUUAAUUUGUUCUAUUUGAGUUUUUGAUAAUUACCCAUCUACACUAAAAUUAGUUGUAGAGUUUAUUGUAAUAAAUUUACUUAGAAUAUUUCAUAUAAUUCACGUGAAUAAAUUCUUAUUAAAGUAAGUGGUACAUUUAAAUUUCCAAAAACCAAAACUACCAAUAACCUACCUGCAUCUAUCAAAUUUAAAAUACAAGAUAUUAAAUUAAAGAGUAAUGCUUCUAUACUUUUUUUUUUUGGUUACCGUUCAUUUAUGUGUAUUCAACGGCUCAGAUUUAGUUUUUUUAAAAUUGUGACCUGCAAUAGCAGGUCACUUUAGGAGAGGUAUCAGUUACCAGGUACCUCAAAAAAGAAUAUUUUUGUCUUUUAAUACAUGGGCAAUUUAGUCAUUUUACAUCUACUAUAUUUUCAAAUUUUUUAUUUUUUCUUUGCUUCCUUUUUCUCUCUUUAUCUUUCCUUUCAUUGAAUUUAAACUUUAAAUAGUAAUAUGAAAUUCCUCUAAUUUAAAUUUCACUUUUAAAUUUAAAACUUAAUAUUAUAUUCAAAUUUAUAUUUUAAAAAUUUAAGUUUCAUAUAAAUACUUUGAAAUAUGGUAAACAGAAAUAAUUGUUUUAAUUCUAGUCUUCUGGUUUAUGUUUGGUUUUGGGUUUCGGUAAAUUGGUCAGUUUUGAAUUUUGAUAUGGAUUUUUGAAAUCCGUCGAGUUCGGAAAUAAGUUUUGUGAUUGUUAGUCUGAUUCCAAUUCAAAUUUCUAACAAUUUUUUUUCUCACCAAUAAUUCUAAUUUUUUUAAUUUAUAUGUUUAAAAUUAUAUUUAAAAUAUUUAUUAGCUCUAACAGUUAAAUUAUCAUUCUGUUUAAAAUAUUUAUUAUUUUUACCAGUUUCGGUUCGAUAGGUUAAAAUCAAAUUCUUGAUAGAAUAGGUCAAAAUUUGAUCAGUCAAAUCAAUCGGUUCAAUCUAGUUUCUAAAUCAUUGAAUUUAAAAUUUAAAUAGUAAUAUGAAAUUCCUCUAGAGAAAUCUAGUUGUAGAAAUCUUACUCUCUAAUUUUUUUAUGCAUUACGUUUUAAACUGGUGCGAAUAAACUGUAUUUUAAACUUGGUAGAAAUUUAGUUUUUAAAUAGUAAUAUUUAAUGCAUAAAUUUAGGACCUCAAUUAAAAGUUUCUUUAAAUAUUGUAUUAUUUAAUUACCAAACUAACCUUGAAUAAAAUAAUUAUUUUACCUGCUAAGUAUUAAACUUACAUUUUUAACCUCUAUUAAUCAACGGUUAAGAUCUUUUUUAUUUUUUUUUUUAAAAAGUACCGAAUCAUUUCUCUAAAUUAAAACUAUUAAAUAGUAAAUAGUUAAAUUAAAAAUAAAGGUUUAUAGUUCACAUAAAUUUGAUACAAUUUUAUCUUAUUAUUAUAAUUAUUAUACCAAAACGAUUGUGUGAAACCUAGGGGUGAGUAUCGGUCGAUUCGGUUCGUUCGGUUUGUGCAGGUUUUUUUAUUAAAAAUAAAGAAAAACUUCAAAAACAUGUCAUGUGGUUUCGUAGUUUCUCACUUUGCCCCCUUGUAGUUUAAAAUGUAUCAAUUUGUCCCCCUGUAGGUUUUUUUUCCUCUUUUUCUUAUCAAUUUUGUUUUUUUUUUUUUAAAUCAGUGAUAAAGUUAAAAUUAAAGGAUACUAAAGUGAAUAUUUGAUAAAUCUAGAUGGGUAUAUGAAGUUUUUUGUAUAUAAUUUAAUGANUUUCCCUAAAAAUAAAUCAGACCGAAUGAAAAAUAUGAACUGAAACGAACCAAAGUAAUUUGAUCAGUUGAGUUCGAUUUAUUUCAUUUUAGUAAAUAAUUUUAUUUAAUUUAAAAUUUUAAACUACUAAAACUAAAGUGAAUUUCCGACUAAUUUUUGGUAGAUAGGCGUGAAUCAAAAUUUCUUUCUUUUACCCAAAAAUUAAAAUUUGUAGUGCUAGGCGGAUUUGGAAGAUUGGAAUGAACUCAAUACAAAUUAUAUUUUCUAUAUUUUUAUUUUUUACUUACCAUUCCAUUCUUUCUAUAUUCUUACUUUCUACUUACUAUUCUAUCUGAAUUAAAUAUAUAUGUAAUAUUUUUCCAAAGGUCAAUAAACAGCUACAAAUAAUGUGAGACUAUAACUAUAUUUUAAACGCUAUAACAAUUUUAUUAUAAUUUAUUUGAUCAUCGUAUUUGAUCAUAGUCUGUAUGAUAUAUUGAGUUUAACCGUGUACAGUUGUACCGGUCCCCAAGCGCGACUCACGCGGGAUACUUUUUUUUUUUUCCUUUUUUUUUUUUGGUUUGGAUAUAGGCCUGCUAUUUCCUCGAAACUGAAGAGGUGCACAGUAAUAUUUCACUGUAAACAGUAAUUUUUAUUAUUUGAUUUAGGAAAAAUUUUAAAUACCUCUCUUGUGGUUUCACAUUUUCUCACUUUAGUAUCCUGUGGUUUAAAGUGUAUCAAGUUAGUACCCUGUGAUUUCGCACUUUCUCACUUUAGUACCCUGUGGUUUCGAGUGUAUCAAGUUAGUACCUUGUGGUUUCACACUCUCUCACUUUAGUACCCUGUGGUUUCAAGUGUAUCAAGUUAGUACCCCGUGGUUUUAUUUUUGUAUCAAUUUAGUACCCUGUGGUUUCAAUUUUCUCUUUUUAUUAUCCAUUUCGGGUUAUAUAAUUUAACGAAAUAUUAAACUACAGGGUAGUAAAGUUAGAGAGUGCGAAACCACAUGAUACUAAUUUGAUACACUUGAAACCACAUGGUACUAAAGUGAAAAAGGGCGAAACCACAUGGUACUAAUUUGAUACACUUUAAACCACAGGGUACUAAAGUGAGAAACUGCGAAACCACAAGGGGUGUAUUUGAAGUUUCCCCUUUGAUUUAUUAUAAUAUAACUGGAAUUGAAAUUAUAAUUUUAAAAUAACAUCAACUAUGGAAAAAAAAAGAGAGAAAAAAGUAAAACAAUAUUACAAAUAAAAUCUUAAUUUUGGGAUAGGAUUAUUCCUGCAUACUGUGCUCGUCUUCAAAACGUAAAAAAAUCUAAUUUAUACUUAAUUUCAAAAUAGUCAUUUUUGUUUUCAAAUUUUCCUCCUAAAAAAUGUUAAUUUCUUUCAAAUAUAUCUAUACCCUUUUGGGUUUAUAUAGGAGAUUUAAAUUUUUGAAGAGUAUUUUGAAAAAAAUAAAGGAUAAAUUUGAAAUAAAACAAAAUCCGACUCACCGUUGUGCCCAUUAUUCAAUUUAUAAUUGUAGGAAUUGCAUCAAAUAUAAUAAUUAAAUAUGUAAAGAUAAACAAUAUAUUCAAAUUUUAAAGGACAAACUCAAAUCAAAUAAAGUAAAAGAUUGACCAGUAAACUUAAAAUCUUAUAAAAAAAUUAAAUAAUCGACUCAAAAUAGUCGAUAGUUUAAAUAAACUCAGCACAUUUUUACCCAAAAACUAAAAUUUGAAGGUUUAUUCUAUAUUUGUGAAGGUCUCCUAAUCGAGGAAACUUUAUUAUGUAGCAGCUGCACGACUACACCGCAUUAUCUAUAUCUAACCAAUCACAUUACUUCUUUUAAAAAAAAAUUAAUAAAAUUAUUUUAGAAAAAAAUUUAAUUAGUUGAAAACAUCAUGAACGUUAUUUAUGCGACUGCUGCAUUUUUAUCUUUUUCCUCAUGUUCAUCUGCCAGUAGGCGGGUAUGAAUAAAGAUGUAGGUUAUUCAAAAAUUUACAAAUAAAUUUUAUCUAUAUUCAUAUGAUCCACGGAUAUAAUAAUUCAUCAGCGGUUUAUCCAAUCUGUCCGUUUGCUAGGUCUAGAGGUGUACAUACUUCAGUACUGGGAUCCAGCUGUGGGAGACUAAUUUGCUGCACAAUUUCCCCGAGACAUAUUAAUUUAGAUUGUUUUAUAAAGGGAAAACUUCAAAAACUCCCCCGUGGUUUCGUAGUUUCUCACUUUGCCCUCCUGUGGUUUUUUUUUUUUUUUUUUUCUUAUCAAUUUUAUUUUUUUUCUUAAAUCAGUGAUAAAGUUAAUUUAAAGGGUACUAAAGUGAAUAUUUGAUAAAUCUAGAUGGGUAUCUGAAGUUUUUUGUAUAUAAUUUAAUAAAAUAUUAACGAAAAAGUUACCGAAAAGAUAAAAAUAAAACCACAUGGGGACAAUUUGAUACAUUUAAACCACAGAAUGAUAAAGUGAGAAACUACGAAACUAUAUGGAAUUUUUUGAAGUUUUUCCUUUUAUAAACCGCGUUAACACGCAGUGAGAUCACCAAGCAUGCACCUUCUCCCUUAAAGUGAAUCACCACCGUCCGAUUGCCAGGGCCAAUGAUACCUAUCAUACGUGAUCAUCACGCGGGUAGCUAUCUUGGUGAUGAUAACACCAGCUGUUUCUGUGUAUUUUUUAAUCGUUUUUUUUUUCUUUUUUCCUUCACUAUUUUUCAACUCCCUAAUAAAAAGUUAGAAUACGUACUACGUACGUCUCAAAGAUUGCGCGAGUUAAAAAGAAUGUAAUAAAAGAAAAUAUUUUAUUUAUCUUCGUACACCGUAUAUAUUCAGUAUAUCGCGUUCUGUAUAUCGUAAUAAGUCGAUUAUAUAUACAUAUUAAUAAUUAUAUCAAACUUUAUAAUAGUAUCUAUUUCGAGCCAAUUUAAGAGUAGUCCAAUAAGAUUAGUAAUAAAUAAAAUUAUUGAAUUUAAUAAAAAAAAUUUUCUUAUGUAAAAAUGUAUGAAGACCCCCCUCAACAAUAUUAGCCGAGUCAAGUUUUAAUAUUUGCACUAUUGUAUAUACGUAGACAAAAAAAAUUUAUCAAAUUUAAUGACUUUAUUAGUUAUUAGUCGAUAAUUAUUCUAAUUUUAUAAGUAAAGAUAUUAUAAUUAUUGAAUUCAAUAAAAUUAUCAAUCAGUUUGAGAAAAUAUCCUUUUCUUUGACUGAGAUCAUUUAAUUCCAAAAAAAUUAACAAAAUUAAGGAAGCGUCAAUUCAAACUUUAUUUUUUUAUGCAAUUUACAAUAGUUUACAGCACUUCAAUUAAAUUUUCACCAAACAACUUACUAUAAAAAAUAACAUUUUAUAUCAGAACCAACCAAACGCUCUGUAACUUUUCAUUAUAGCACUGCAUUGCUUUACUCUUGUUCAAUGGUACUACGUUUUAUAGCCUAACCAAAUAUGUCCUAAGUAACGGCGAUAGCAAUGUUUCUAGAGUAAUCCUUACGGUCUAGAAUAUAUAUCACUUUCGAUAAAAAAUUUAAUAAGAAUUGUCGUCAAUACAAGACUGUUUGAUCAACCAUUCAUCAUAUAAGCAAUUUGAAUCUCAAAGCUAUAUAUAUAAACAGUAGAUAAGACGCGAAUCACCAUACUUUUUAUGUUGCUUUAAGAUUCGAGCUAAUGAGUGAUUAAGGUGGUGAUUUUUAUGUAAGUAUGGGAAUUAACCUCCCUAGCUAUAGAACUUGUGUUCUUAUUUUGGCUUGACCAGUAGGAGUGGCAAUCAAAACCCAACCCUCUUUGCUCGAUCCAAUAUGAACCGAUCGAAUCGGAUCGGUUUAAGAUCAUCUAUUUUUAUAGACUUAAUUAGGGUUAGAACAUCUCAACUCAAAAAACUAUUAGAUCAGCUCACGUUUAGAUCGUUUUGUUAUGAUUUGUUAAGGAUAUUAAUCCUGUAUUGAAUAUAAAUUAAAAUUUUGACAUAUAUAUAUAUAUAUAUAUAUAUAUAUAAGGUGCAUGAUGGAUACUUCUACCUAUUAAUAUUAAGUUUUUAGGUUUGUUUUGUUCGAUUCCUCGCGACCGUAGUACUGCACCAUCUACGAUACUUGUCACUUGUGAUUUAUUGCACAUUUUGUGUAGAAAUUUUCCGCAUUAUAUAUCAACCAAGGUCCAAUUCAAGAUCCAUUUUGUAUCCAAUUCAAGUUUGUUUUAAUUUUAAUAAGUUAAAUAUUAUGUAAAAACGAACAACACUUAUCUGAACUAUUGACUAUUUUGAGUCAACUGCUCGAUCAACCUUUCAAAAUUUUUAUUUUAUUAGCCAAUAUUUUAAUUUGUUUAAUUUGGAUCAAAAUUUGAAUACGUCGUUUAUAUUUAUAGAUUUAGUUAGAAUAACUCAAACAAUUAUAGCAACUAUAAAAGUAAGCAACCAGCUUAAAUUUUAAAGUUAAAUAAAUUGAAAAAUUGAAUAGUAAAAUUAUAAUUUUAGCAAAUUGAAUAGCCGACUUAGAAUAAUCUAUAGUUUAGAUAGAUUUUGUCUGUUUCUACUUAAAUUUUAAUAAGUGAAAAAACAAUUAAUAGCAACUCGCUGCUGUGGCUUUUGGUCAGAUACAACCUUCAUAUUUUCAAAGUUUUUGUUUUAAGGGAGAAAAUUUGGUGCCUUAUUUUUUUUAAUUAAUUAAUUUGUCGUUUGACCUAAUUUUUCAAUCUUAGAAAGUUGGGAUCGUCAUGUAGACUAAUAUAUAUAUAUAUAUAUUAAUAAUAUAUAGUAUGAAAAUAUUCUAGAAGGCUCAUAAGAGGAUUAAAAAAUACUAAAAUGUUGUUAUUUAAUAAAUUAAUACUUUGUUUAGUGUUGUUACAGUUUUUUUUGUUUUUGUUUUUGUUUUUUAAAGUAGAAUUUCUACAAAUAGUGUAGGAUGUUGCAAUUCUUAUAUCCAAAUUAUAUUCUUUAGUGCAAAAAAUAAAAUUUGAAAUAAAUCUUUUUCUUUUCCAUUGUUUUAAAGAAAUUGGUAUUCAUCACUUAGUUGGAAUGUAUUGCAAGCUAAUUAAUUAUACGUACAAACAAAAAAAAACUUAUGUUAGUAUACAAAAUUUAGAUAGAAUUUGUAUUAAUAAAAAAAAAAGAUAUUUAGAUAAUAAUAGCUAUUUCUAAGUUGAUGUUACUGCAAUAAUUAAUAAGUAAACACCUUUCAAUCUCUUCUGCUGACUCUGUCCAAUUAUAUUUAAGUCCUUAAAACAUGACCAAGUCCUAUGUUAACUUAAAUGCCCCAUGUCUCAUUCAUAUUGAUUUGUGUGCUUUUUUUCUUUUUUUUUUUCUUUUUUUUUUCUUCCUGUAUCAGACGAACUAGAUCUUUUCGGAUUAGUCAUAACAAUUAGUAUCAAAUCCAAGCUCUUCUGAUGAGGUACAAAGACGUAAAAACUAAAUUAGUAUCAAAUCCAAAUAAGCAAAGUUUAAAUCAGCUCUAUACAAUUUUAUGACAAAUUAAACGAGGGAAAAGUAAGUGGAAAUUUUCACCUUGCCUUGUUGAAACAUUAACAUUGAAGGACCAAGUAAAAAUAAGUUGAAUUUUUCAAAAAAAGAAAUGUAAGAGAGUGAGUAGUUGUGAAUUUAAAGCGAAGAAAAGUGUAAGAGUUGAUGACAUUUUGAUGGUGAAACCUUACCUUUCAUAGAUUUCAUUUGGCUAAAUUACACCUAAAUACACUUUACUUUGUUGUUUUUUUUUUUUUCAUUUGCUACAUUAUACCUUUUUUUUUUUAAAGACACAAGUUUAUUAUUAUAUUUUAUCAACCUUUAUACUGUAUUUUAGGCUUAUUUUUAAAUUUUCUAUCUUAUACUAUUAUUUUUUCAUAGAUAUGACUAUAUUAUUUUUUUCUCACUAAUCUGUGCAUUACUGUUAACAAAUCUAUUAUUUAAGAUAAAAUCUACUAACUUUAUUAAAAUACACUAGUUAAAUAGUAGAAAAAAAGCAAAAUGAAUAGCCAUGAUAGACUAAUUGAAAGUAUCUGUCGAGUUAGUUUUAACUAUUUUUUAUUAUUUAUAUGUAUUUUGUUAUUAUUUUUGUAUUAAAUAGGUUGAAUAUAUACUCUGCCCCUUUUAAGCAGUAUUUUUUUCACAUAUUUCAUUUAAAAUCAUAGAUUUUUAGCUUAUAUUGUAGGGAUUGAAAAAUAGAAUAGUUAACUGGUUUUGUGAAAAAAAACAAAUAGAAUAGCAUAAAACGUAUAAAAAAAAAAAAAGACGACUCCCCGGUAUAGCCAUUUUGUCGAGUUUUGACUCUGUUCUAGUCGAUUCGUCAGCUUUUGCUGUAUCACAUCGUUAGAAUUACACCUAUAAACGGUUGAUUUAUUUGUCUAGUAUGUGUGUAUUGACAUGUUUUUUCAAUAAUGUGUCAGAAUAUAUUAACUAAAAUUUGUUAAUAUGUCAAGAACCAAACACAUUAAUUCUUUAUAGUUGUUGUUUAAAAAUAUGUUGCUUAUUUAUGCAAUUUUCGGAAUAUUGCGUAUUACCGCGACCCGUGGGCCGAGUCGAAGGUAGGACAAGAAAUGGGCCUUUUUUUUGGCCCAACAUGUCGAUGGCGGGUCGGGCCGUAUCGACGAAGUUGUUAAGUUUCUGGGCUUUUCUUGCAUGCUUGUAAUUCAAGAAAUUAAGUUAAUUUUUGGGUAAAAUGUAUAAAGAAAUAAUAAGCGUCUGAACUUUCAAUUUUGACCGUUACAUAUCCAACUACAGCAGAAUUAAGUUAUAGAGAUACAUUUUUGGAACACUUUUAUAUAAGUGUUCCAUUUAUGUCAAAACUGUUUUAAAAAAUUUAUUAAGGCCUAAAUAUAAAGUCCAAUCCAAUUAAAAAUAAAAAGUUCCUUUAUUCAACCAACAACACCUAGCCCACUGGGCAUGAUUACAAAUAAAAAAGGAAGAAAAAAAAAUGAUCACCAUCUCCCCUUCUCUUCCUCCGCCGCUGCAGCCGACGAGGUAGGAUUCCGGCGGCUGGAGUUCGGCCGCGAGGAUCUCGUAGGGACCGUAGAGGAUUACGAUCGGCACGUAUCCCUUGCCACAGGUCGCUGGAGGAGUGGGUGUCAAUUAUCAAGGCGGCCCUACCUAUAGCGACCCCACUUAUAGCAAUACUUUUAAAAAGUAUCGGUAAUUUAGCCAGCAGCAUUUUUUUUGACCUAUACCGAUAUUAAAAAAUAUUGCUAUACACCGUUUUUGUUGUAGUGCCCCCCUUAUUUAAAGUAAAUAAUAGCAGAAUUAUUUUGGUCAUGUAUAUUGCAUAUAAUUAAAGUUCUUGCUUUAAAACACAAAUAAGUUUAUUUUUUAUAUUCUAAUAUGUAAAUACAAAAAGGGUAAAAAUUGAAGUUUGGUUGGCCUAUUUUCCGCUCCUCAUGCUUAAUUAUUAAAAUUGAAAAAAAAAUAUAUAUUUUGAAGUCUUAAAUGAUUACGUGCACCGCGUUUGAUCUUAACAACUGUAUAAUUAGUUUGCUUGUGAUAAAUUUUAGAAAAUAUAAUUGCCAAAAUUAAAAGUUUAUCUACCUUUAUAAAUAUAGAUUUUAUAUUUUGUUAUUGUUUUCAGUAUAAGUUUUAUAAUUCAAUACUGAGAUAACCUCUUGCAGAUAAUAGAGACACAUUACAAUUAUAUUGUAGAAAAACAUAUUACCAUAUUAGGAGUUCGACUACUAUAUUUUUAAUAAGUACGAUCGUCUACGUGCUCAUAAAUUUUUGAUGAUCGAAUUUUCAAAUUGACAACUUAUAUUGUUAAAUAUAAUUUAGAGCAUUUAAUUAUUGUAAAACUGAAUUUCAUUUUUUUUUUUUUUUGACAUCAUAUGUUUUAUAAUAAAAAGGCAACAAAUUAAAUUGGCAAUUUUAAUGGUUGGUAUGAAAUAUUUUCUAGUUUAAUAGUGUAGAAAAAUCUAAAUCUGUUGAAUUUUUGAGAAAAUUUUUUAUUCAUUAUCUAGAUUAAAAUUAAUAACUCCAAUCUUGAAUUGAAGAAUUAAAUCCUCUGAUUUUAGGAGAUCACUCGAUUUUGAUUGUUCAUUGUAUACCUACUUGAUGAACUUUAUUAUAACUUUAAAAAAUUAUAAAGUUCAGUUUCUAGGUAAUUUAGACGUUCUAGAUCAUGUUCAAUGGUAUGUAUGAAUGAUUUAGAAGCUCUGUAAUUAAAAAUUACUUAUAAGUACAAAGAUCUCUCUUGUUAUAAGAGGACGCAAUAGCCUUACUCUAUAUAUAAGCAUAUUUUAGAGUUCAACUUGUAUACUAUUCAUAGUAUGGAUGCCUCCGUGCUAUGAAAUUAUUUUUGAUGAUAGGAUAUUUGAAUUGAUGAUCAGCUAAGUUAAACAUGAUUUUUUUUUGGAGAGAUAAUUAGCACGCUACCCACUUCGUUUAUUUCAUUUAGAAAUAAACUUAGCUGAACAUAUGAAUUAACUAGGAUUCGAAUUUUGGACCUGGGAUAUCAACCACUAUGCCCUUUGCCACUUGCUCUAGGGACGGCCGAUAGUUAAAUAUGAUUUAUACUACCAGUAGUAUUUAGAAACUAAAUUUAUUAUUUUUUUCGACAUUAUUUGACCAGCAAUCAAAGUGUUUGAAUAUUAACAAUUUUAAUAGUCAAUGUGAUGUAUUUGUAAGUUUAAUAGUAUAGAACAAUCUAAAUUCAGUGCAAUUUUAAUGGAAAUUUUUUUUUGCUAUUAAAACAAGAUUAGUAUUUUUAAUAUGAAAUUUAAAUCUUUUAUCAUUAUUUUCUAUGAGACUUUUAUUUUCAACCAUUCAUAUCGAAAUCAUUCAUUUUAUAGGUAAAUGAUGUUAAAAAAUAAUAAAAACUAGUUUCAUAGAGUUGAUCGCCAAUUCGGAUAUCUGAUUAUCGAAACUAAUUUGGUAGUAGGGAAGUUUUCAUAUUAUUAAUAGUACAUAUACUAGCCAAAUUCAUAUAUUUUAUUAUAUUUAUCGAAAUUUGGGCCAGGUCGGGCAGGACCGGACAUUACGAGCCUGGUCCGAGCCUGGUCCGGACAUUUCAAGGCUAGGCUCGAACGUCAAGCAUUGGGCUCACAUGGACUGGGUGAACAGUCCGGCCCGUGAUCACGUUUAAAUAGGUCUCGAGUUUAAGUCAUGCAUUAACCGCACAAAAGUGUCCUACAUCUAUAACUGUAGACGCUACUGCAGAGUAGAUUAAAAAGUGAAAAAGAAAGAAAGAACAAGAUGAUUCCAAAUUUCGAUUAUUUACAUCCAAGCACAAAUUAUAUCAUUGGAUAAAAAAGAUAAGAUGAAUGCAGAGCUGAUAGAUUUGUUGUUGUUGUUGUGCACGAACAUACGAAUGAAUCAUUAGAUGCGUACAAUUCUUUCUCUAAAUCAAAGAACUAAAGUGAAACCAUUGUUGAAGUUCAAAAUUUGCGACAUUGAACUUAGAAAAUUGGGGACUAGUUUUGUGAUUCAACCAUUAUCUAGAAUUUCUUUCCUUUAAAUGGAUGAGAGUAGUCGCGUAUUCGUCAUGGCUACUUAACAUUUCAUAAUUUUAAUUUUAUAAUUCAAUCUUUCAAUUUAUUUGAUUUGAGUCAGAAUACUUUGACUUCAAAAAUUAGUCUAAUUAUUUUAAUAAAUUUAUAGUUACGAAAACUACAUGAAGUAUAGUAACUAAAUCUAUAAAAAUAAAUAAUGCUUUCAAAUUUUGAAGUCAAAGUAUCGUUGACUGACUUAGAUAAAUUUUAUAGAUAUUUUAUCUAUACCUGAUACCAAAUCUUCUAUUAUCAAAAAUAGUGAUUGAGAAAUAUUAAAACUUCUCCACAUAAGCAUACUUUAUAGACCAUCAUAGGAAUAUAAUAAUUCCAAGAAAUGAAAUUGGAGUAUUUCGCGUUUAUUCCAAAUAAUAUAUACUAUCCAAACAUGGUAAGAAUGGCUUUAAGGGUCUGUUUGGUUUACCGUAUUUUUCAGAUUGUCGCAAAUAUGGAUUAAAAAUUGAGAAUUCUUGCGUAUUUUUAUGUUUAGUUUAUCACAAAAAUUUGAUGUGAUUUUCGUGGCAUCUUUUAAACCCACAAAAUAUAAGAAUUUCAAAACCUGCCCCCUUCUCUUUGUAUUUUUUAUUUUUUAUAAAAAUUUAAUUUCAAUGGACUAAACUAUUCUUUUCAAAAUUUGAAACUUAUCAUCCUAUUUAUUACAAAAUAAUGUACACUACAAAUUCAUAUUAAUAAGAGUAUUAUAAUAAACAAAUUCAUGUUAAUAAGAGUAUUAUAAUUCCCAUAUUGAACUAAACAUAAAAAUUGUAUCAUCCCACGUAUUCUAAAACACAAAUAAAAAAAAAAAUUCUAUAACGCAGAAUAUAAUUCUACAAUAAUAAUUCCAGAAUUUAUUUUUUUUAAGAAAUUUUGGGUACUAUAAAUCUAUUGGUUGUUUAAUAUUGGGCUAAAAGAGGUCCAACUUUCUUCUCCAUAACAAUAGGCUCGGGAGAUUAAUAAGUUGAGUUAGAUGAACUUAAUAAGUUGAAUGAAGCUGUGGUCCACAAGAGACCUGACGGCAAGAGGUCUAACAAUAGACCUACUGUUCAGAUAGAUUGAAUCAGAUCGAAGUCCGUUAGCACUGUGGUUGAGUUCUUACGUGCGAUGAGUGUGCUCUUCCUAUCAGCAUCUGCUUCUGGGAUAGUUGGUUAGCACUAAGCGCAAAUACAACCAAAUUAUCCGUAAAUUCAAAAUUUUGUUUAUAUCAUUUUUUUUUUACUUUUUUUUAAUAAAAUUCUUAAACCAAGAGUAAAUAGCCCAAAAGAGAAAAGUAACUAAUUAAAGAGGAGACAAAGGUUUUAAGUUGCCAUGGUGUAACUGAUUCAUUACAACGUGCCCCCAUAAUAACAUGAAAUAUAUAUAAACACUGCAAACAUACACAGCUGUAACUCUAUUCUUAUUACACACUAACACCUAGGCAACAUUAUUAUUAUAAUAAUAAUAAUAAGCAUCAACAUUACCAAAUCUUAAAUUUGCUAAUAAGUUUUAUGAGUGAAGCAUGUAAACAAUUUUGCAAAUUAUUUACAUAGUCAUGCUUCAUUAAUGGGUGUUAUAUUGCUUAUUGAAAGCAAAUCCAAAUAGCUGUUAAUUAAUACAAAAUAUGAAUUCAUAAAGUAUUCAAGCAACCGAAUUAAAAGUGCUUCAAAAAUAUAUUUAACACAACAAUUUACAUGUAUAAUGAAUAUCAAAGACACGUGGAAUUAAUAAGUGAGGUAAGAGGCGAAAAUUUAUCACAUUGGAGGUUGAAAGUGGAGCUCAAACUCGUGAUCAUAUAGAAUUAAAGGAUUUAGAAUUGACUUUGAUACUGUGUUAUCCAAAAGAUCCAUAUAGUAAAAAACAGAUCCAAACCAACUGUCCCUAGAGCAAGUGACAAAGAGCUUGGUGGUUGGUACCCGAGGUUUCAAGUUCGAAUCCUAGUUGAUUCAUAUUUUCAGCUAAGUUUAUUUCUAAAUGAAAUAAACAAAGCAGAUAACGUGCUACCUAUAUCUCAAAAAAAAAAAAAGAAAAAGUAAAAAACAGAUCCAAAAUAUAUACUUAAUAAUUAGAGCAUGUGAUUUACCAAUUUGAGUAUUUCUAAAUAAGGUGUUUUAGUGUAUGUGUUGUUUCAAUGCCUCAUGAGGAGCCCACUCUAGCCAACUAUAAUUAGUGUCACCAAAAGAUGGGAACACGAAUUUGGAUUAUUUAAGGGAAAGAACAAAAAUAAAAAAAAAAAAAGAAAAAAAAAAGGGUAGUGUAUGAAUUGUUGUAUGCAUGUUCCAAACCUAUAACACAAAAAGUGCAUAGUACAAAGAAUACUAUAGAAAGCAACUUAUAGGAACAUAAGAUAUUUAAAGUGAAAACCACUGAAACUCACUGCAUAUAAAAUGAUUCCAUCAUACCAUAAGAAGUUCAAAUGUUGAUGUUCCACUAUAAUCCAUGUAACCCUUAUCUAUGUACAAUGCAUUAACCAAACAAAAUUAUUGUUAUAUAUGUACUUGAUUUUUAUGGUACUUUGCAUAGUGAAAAGCUUUUUUGAACUAUGGAAUGGUAUUAAAGUCAAUUCUAAACUCUUCCUAGUCCAUUCCAAAAGUUUUUAAAUUUGAUUCUUACCUCCGCUGUUUUGUGACAUAUAUUUUGUUAGUUAUUAUGUUGUCAUAUUGGUUAUUUCUCUAAUCAGCGUAUAUGGUAUAAUUCAACUAAUAUCUGUCAUGCACGUGAGUAGGGAUAUUUACGGCUAAUCGUUGUUUUCUAUGUUCCCUCUCCAAUCAAUCAAUCAAUACACGUGGCAUAAUUAAUAUGAUAUCUAUCAUGCACGUGAAUGGAGAUGUUUAAGACUAAUCGCUGCUCAAUUUUUUUGCUAACACCAAUAUCGACAUUACUAAUUGUUUCUUAAGUCAAUAGUCAUAGUUCAAAUGUUGAUAUUUGACUUUUGUCUCCGUCAUUUUAUGACAUAUAUUUUUGUCAAUUAUUCUAUUGUCAAUUUGGUUAUCUUUCUAAUCAAUGCAUAUGGCAUAAUUUAUCUAAUAUCUGUCACGCACAUUAGUAGUUGUAUUUAAGGCUAAUUGUUGUUUUUUGUGUUACCUCUCUAAUCACUCAAUCAGUACACGUGGCAUGAGUCAUCCGAUAUCUAUUAUGCACAUGAGUGGAGAAGUUUAAGACUAAUCGCCAAUCAAUCUUUUGGCUAACUCCAAUAACGACAUAACUAAUUGGUUCUAAGUCAAUAGUGACAGUUAACAAUGGCUCUGAUAAGGUUUUCCACAAUAGAAUCAUCAUCAUGAAGAAGCUGAUUGAUUUAGGAUUAUGCAGUGCCAAUAUCUUAUUCAGCAAAUAUGUCUUCCAUUAAGGUGUUGACAUGGCUGAUAGUUUUUGUGCUUUCAUAUGUUAUGAAAUUAUCAUUAGGAGUACUAAAGCUAGGGAGAGUACAUUAACACAAGAUAAUUACAACAACAUGAGGAGAGAACUCAUUUCAUUCAUUCAUUCACAAAAAAUGUCUUUUUGCCAUUCCAUUACACUAAAAGAUAUAAAUUACAAGAUAACCAAGCCUCAAUCAUCUAUCCAAGCAACAAGACAGUUAGAGAAGUAUAAAGGCACGAAAACUCGCAAGCAAAAUAGAACGCGCGCGCACACACACAAACAAAAAAAGAAGUAAUUCUUACAAGAAAAAAGAAAAGAAAAAGGUAAAAGCCCUCUACCAGAAUCUACACAAAAAGUUUCAAGGUAAUUGCGUGGCAAAACAGUCACCUUCCCUACAAGCCUCCUAGUCAUACACCUGUGAAAUCAAUGAACACACAUGCACUGUAGAGAGAAUUUUUUUUUUUUUGUUUUUUUUGCUUGAACCAUGAAUCACUCAGAAUCACUCGAGCUCGAGCUCGAACUCGACCUGGAUUUCCUAGACUUGUGUUUCUUGCCUGUCUUCUUCGAGUUUGAACCAACUACAGCUGUUAUGGCUGCAACUUCAUCAUUUCUUUCAUCUUCUUUUUCCAAAUGUCGGCCAGCUUCUGAAAUAACUGCUGCUUCAGAUGCCUGCUCGAUCUCUUCAGCUGGUUGGACUUCAGGAACGUCAGUCUCUACAUGCUUUUCAUUUUCUUCAAACUUUCCAGACCCAUUUUUCGCUUCUGCUUCACCAGAGAGCUGCUUAAAAGCUUCAUGUAAGCCGUCAACAGAUUUUGCUUCAACGACCUGCAAAUCCGAAUUAAUCUCAUUUUUCUCCAAAUUUAGUCUACCUGCUGUAACAUCUGGCGACCCAACUUCUGAAAUGUUAGUUUUAUCAAGACCCUUGCUUAAAUGUUCAAAAGCUGAUUCCAAUUCUUCGAUCGAUUUCGGCUUAAGAACAGGCAACUCCGAAUCAGUCUCUCUUGUCUCCGGAUUAACAUCAAUCAGCUCCAAGUUCGUUCUACCUUGUAUAACUUCCGAAACACCGACUUCCAAAAUUUUAGUUUCAUCACGACCUGUACUUAGAUGUUCGAAAGCUGAACCUACAUCUUCAAUUGAUCUGGCUUCAAAAACUAGCAUCUCCAAAUCAGUCUCCCUUACCUCUGGACCACUUUUGCGAAGCCCAAAUUCAGUCGGCUCGACUUCGACCUUUGCUGUGGGGUCUAACACAGAAGAUACUUGCACUCCUCCAUAGAUUUGCUUAACUAGCGAGUUGAGCUCCUCGCCAGGCCAAGCUUCAAAAACACGCAGCUCCUCGUUCGAGUCGUCUAGAUACUUUGAAGAACUGCCUUCGAGCCUGCUUGGAACUAAAUCAAUCAAAUCUCCUGAUUCAAUUAAAUCAAUACCAGAGCCGAUCACAUUCUCAUAUUUCAGCACUGUUGAACCAUUAUGAACAGGAACAAGAGGAGGAACAAACAGCGAACCUCCUUCAUCUGUCUCGCUAAUCAGUUUGGUUUCAUCACCAUGAUUACCAGAUCCCACUACA
rnacentral:lncRNA from 1 species